rnacentral:lncRNA from 1 species
CCGUAAGGUGUUGGGUUAAGUCCCGCAACGAGCGCAACCCUCGUGUUUAGUUGCCACCGUUGAGUUUGGAACCUUGAGCAGACUGCCGGUGAUAAGCCAGAGGAAGGUGAGGAUGACGUCAAGUCAUCAUGCCCCUUAUGCCCUGGGCGACACACGUGCUACAAUGGACGGGACAAAGGGUCGCGAUCCCGCGAGGGUGAGCUAACUCCAAAAACCCGUCCUCAGUUCAGAUUGCAGGCUGCAACUCUAUAACAGCCUAAUUUUCAGUGGUAUCGGAAAUAGAGAUUUAAGAUCACCAAAUCUGACGGGUGAGUUAAAAAAUUAAUAAAUUAAUACCUAUGAGUCAAAUGCGAAUAUAAAAGCAUUUUUGAAUUAGUGAAUUUGGUGAUUUAAAAGAAUUAAUUAGGUAAAUUGGGUCGAGAAUGAGGUAUCGAGACCUCAACUUCAUAAAUCGAGCCAUAAAUAUUUUUAGAAAUAUUUAUGGAGUGUUGGUGAGGUAGUAUUAAAAUUUAGUCAGAAAAUUUUUACGUUUGGGUGGUUAAUUAAAUAAAAAGAACUAAAUUGAAAAGGGUGUAAAAGUUGCUAGAAAGAUUAAAUAGCUCAAUUGUCAAAUGAGGAAGGACCUAAAGUGAAAAUAGUCCUAAAGGAGAUAUUUUGGGCGGCAAUAGCCGAGAAAAAUCAGGAAAUGGAUGAAAUAAGGGCAAAAUUGGAAAAUUGCCAAAAUUGGCUAAAUAAAAAUGGGACUAAAUUGGAAUAUCUAGAAUUCUCUUCAUUUCUCUUCAUAUUCAUCAGCUGAAAAACAGCCAUGGAAGAGGGUUCAAGCUGGUUUUCAUACUCUAGCUUCAUGUAAGUUUAAUUCUUGCUUUCUCCUUGAAAUUUGUAUGUUUUUAUGACUUUUACAACUAGGUCCACUUGUUGAAUUCAUUAGUUUUUGAUUCUAUGAAAGAAAUUGAAAGUUGUUAUGAAUAUGUGCUGGAAGUAUAUGAUGAUUUGGCAUGGAAUUAGAGCUUUAAAUUAUUUAUAUGCUAAUUUUAUUGAAAGAAUUGAAUAGAAAGUAAAUGUUUGGGACCUAAUUGUAAAAGAGUUUGAAGUUAAAGUUUCAUAUGGAAAUUCUGAAUUUCAAUAGUUAUGAAAUAACUUAUAAUGUCUAGAAAAAGUGUUAAUUGAGAAAAUUAUCUUAAUUGAGGGGUUAAUUGAGCAAGGACUGAAUUCUAUGAAUUGUGAAAUUUGAGGCAAAAUGGAAAUAAACAUUUUGCACUAAAACUAUUUUAGACAGCAGCAGUAGUCUAACUUUGAAAAAUCACUAAAAAUUAUAUAAAUCGAAUUAGAGAAUGAAUAAAAUAUGAAAUUAAAUCUUAUUGAGUCUAGUUUCUUAUGAAAGAAAUUAUGUAAGCAAUGGAAUUGUAAAUCAUCAGAUACAAUAACUUUUGUGAGACAAGGUCAGAAUGAUUUCGAGUUCCCCUGUUCUGACUUUGGAAAAUCAUAAAAAAAAUUGGAUAAAAAUAAUUAGGGACUUAAAUUUAUAUUUUUAGAAUCCUGAAUGAGUCUAUUUUCAAGAGAAACAAACGAGGACAUCAUUCGAAUCCUGUACAAGAAGAUAAUUAAUUUUUAGUGAAGAAUGGUCGGAACUGUCAGACAGCAGAACAGGGGAGACUUCAAUGAAUAAACUGUAUUAAUUGACCCAACCAAAAAUUAUGAAAUUUUUAUGGUAAGAAGGUAUAUGAGUCUAGUUUCAGAGAAAAUUAGCGGAUCUUAUUUUGGAGUUCUGUAGCUCAAGAUAAAAAUAAUUUAGUGACUAUGACACAUAUGGACAACUUGAAUAUUCACAUAAGUAGAUAAUGAAAAUUAUGGAUAAUGUUACUUACAAGUGUGUUGUUUAUACUAAGGAUGUGGAUGGAGAGGAGGAGGAGGAAAAAUAUACAUAUAUAUGAAUGACUCGUGUAUAAAUUGAUCACAUGCCCGGUUAUAAUCGAUGAGUGUUGGAUUAGAAAUUAUAUAAUGUUUUAUUUGGAAUAUUUAUUAUGAAAUUAUGAUUAUCGUUAUAAUACAAAAAUUGAACUUGUGAGUUUAUAUGGCUAAAUUUUAGUGAUUAUUUGUUAAUUUUAUGAAUUUUAUGAUGAGUUAUUUCAUAUGUAUUGAUGAUAAAAUCGUGAAUAAUGUAAAAGCAUGAAAAUUGAAUAAAUGAUCAAAUUGAGCAUUUCAGUUCAGUGACAAGAUGAAUUGAAGGAAAAGAACAUGGUUGGACCAUGGAAACAAGUGAUAAGUGAUAGCUUCGGCUACACUUAUCUGAUUAAGGACAAGUGAAAGUGAUAAGUGAUAGCUUCAGCUACACUUAUCUGAUCAAUGGCAAAUGACAACUGAAAAGUGGUAGCUUCAGCUACCUGAUCAGUGAAAAGUGGUAGCUUCGGCUACCUGAUCAGUGAAAAGUGGUAGCUCCGGCUACCUGAUCAGUGAAAAAUGGUAGCACCAGCUACCUGAUCAGUGAAAAGUGGUAGCUCCGGCUACCUGAUCAGUGAAAAAUUGUAGCACCAGCUACCUGAUCAGUGAAUAGUGAAUAGUGGUAGCUUUGGCUACAAAUGACAAGUGACAAGUGACAAGUGAUUUCUGUAUAAGACCAUAUCUGGGAUAUGGCAUCGGUGUGAUAUAUGCUACUGUAUAAGACCAUAUCUGGGAUAUGACAUCAGUGAGAUAUGUGAUUACGUGUAAGACCAUAGUUGGGCUAUGGCAUCAUUAUGCAAAGGUGUGUAAGACCAUAGUUGAACUAUAGCAUAGAAAAAAAAAAACGAAGUACUCAAUUCCGUAAGAUGUUCACUAAUUUGAAGAAGUUUGGUAAGUAUUACAUGGAAUUAUGUGACAUAAGGAAAUACGAGUUGAUGAGACAUGAGCAUAAAACUUGGUUGAUGGAUGAAUUCAUUUGUGAUUAUAUAUUUCUACGCCUUGAGUGUAUUAUCCGUAUGAAUUGGUAUUCCAAAUGAGUUAAUGAGAAAACUUCUAGUAUGAAAUAAUCUGAGUUCGAAAUGAAAUAUCAUGAAAACGUACUUGAAAUACAUUGGUAUGUAUUGUAUAUGCUAUUUUAAUUCAUAAAUGUGAAAAGCAAAUGUAUGUGGAAAUAUAAGAUGAUGAUAUUUGUACAUGGAAUUUAUUGAUGAAUACGUACAUCAAAAUUUAUAUGAUAAAUUUUAGUGAACAUUGAAAUUGGGCUCAAAAAGUGAUUUGGAAAUUUAAAUCGUAAUUGGUAGGAAUAGUUAAUGAAUUGCAUAUUUAUGAAUUGUUACACGUAUUUGUCUGAAAUACGAGGAAGUGAUGGUAAUUGAUGCAUGGAAAUAUGAAACUAUGAUAUAUAUAAAAACAUGGAAUAUGUUUGAUAAAUGUGUUCAUUCAUAAUUAUAGAAUUAUGUACCUCAUGUGUGCUAUUUGCAUAAAGAUGAUAUUUCAAAUACUUUAGUGAAUAAAGCUUAAAUAUGAAAUAGUAUGAGAUCGAAACAAAUUGUUAUGAAAAUGUAUUUAAAUUAUCUGUAAGUGUUUCGUGCUUCUCGGUAAUGCCUCGUACUCUAUUCCGGCGACAGAUACGGGUAGGGGGUGUUACAAACUCGCCUGCAUGAAGCCGGAAUCGCUAGUAAUCGUCGGUCAGCCAUACGGCGGUGAAUUCGUUCCCGGGCCACACCGCCCGUCACACUAUGGGAGCUGGCCAUGCCCGAAGUCGUUACCUUAACCGCAAGGAGGGGGAUGCCGAAGGCAGGGCUAGUGACUGGAGUGAAGUCGUAACAAGGUAGCCGCCCGAAAAAUAUGAGGGUUUGGGUAAAAAUAUAGGCCCGAAAUAUGGGUUUGGGCACAAAAACGAGGCCCGUUUAGAAAAUGGGCCGCGCUCGGGUAAAUUUUUUUUGGCCCGGGCCCAACCCGGCCCGGCCCGAAUUAUAUAAUAAAUAUUUUUUUAAUUAUAUUUAUAUUUUAAUUUUAAUUUUAAUAUAAUCAAUUUUUAUUAUAUUUUUCAAUUUGUGUAUUGUUUUAAGAAUUGUUUUAAUAUAUUUUUUAUUUGUUUCUUGUUUUAAUAUUUGUUUUAAAUGUAUUUGAUUAUUUAAUAUAUUUUUAAAUUUUUUAUUUAAUAAAAUAAGUUAAAAAAAAUUAAUAUAGGCUGGGCCGAGCCGGGCUCGAGCUGAACAAUUUUAUUUUGGGCCGGGCUUGGACAAAUUUUUAGGCCCAUAUUUCGGGUCGGGCCUGGCCUGGGCCUAGAAAAUGGGCCUAGAAUUUUUUGUGGGUCCAGCCCGAACCCGGCCCGGCCCAUGCACACCUCUAGUUUCAAUACACUUUAACCCACAUCCUCAAUUAGACAUUGACAUUGUUGACAAAUGUUAAGGUUUCGAGAUUUUACUAUCCAAGUUCAAGUUUCAUUAUAUGUAAUUCUUAUGUGUGGGUUUUAGUCAAUGAGUCCAUUUUAGUUCGAAUUAUUCAAUUCUUUGUCUACUCGUGCUUUAAUUGGUUUGAUUUUCCUUUGUGAUUACUUGAACAUGUAUUUACAAUUGUCACGAGGAUUAAAUCCUUUUGAGAUUUGUAGUUACCCCUCCCAAUAAUGUCAUCUUCAAUGCUUGAAUUCGAGUUUUCUCCCUAAUAAUACAAUAUACCAUACUAUUGUUGUAACACCCCCUAACUCCGAACCAUUGCCGAAACAGGGUUACGAGGCAUUACCGGACAUAUCAGACAACUUACGAAUAAUUUACAAAUAAAAUAACAUUCAUAGUAUAAUUUAAUAACUAAGUCCCUAUAAUGAACUCUCGAAGUCUAAACAUGUAUUAAAAGUGAAGCGGGACUCGUUCAAGUACUCCAAAUUUUUUUUUUAAUUUCAACAGCAUUUCUGCUUAUUUUUACAUAAAACCCCCUGCAAUUAAAACUGUAUCAAUUUCAAACAUAACCAAUUCAACCAACUCAUUUAAUAUACUCAUUUUCUAUUCUAAAUACCUUCUUAUCAAAUUCAAUUAAUAUAUUAUCAAUUUAAAUUUAUCAAUGUACUAAUUAAAUUGAAAUGGAUAAACUCUUUCUUUCUUUUUUUCAUUAUAAUUCUUAAACUUGUAGUACUAACAUUUUUAACCAUUUAUAUUCAAAACAUAAUAACAUUUAUACACAUCCUAUGUACAUGCCACAUUACUAAAAGAAAAUAUACAUCACAAAAAAUUUAUUGAAGUUGGGUCUGGCUUUGAAUGCUGGUUCAAUACUUGACUUCUACAACCUGCGCACGGAAACAACCGUACGCUGAGUAUGCAUAUACUCAGUGGUAUCACUAAAAUUCAAUUUAUAAUUAAAUACAUUAAAUCACACACAUACUUUUACAUUACGAUUAUCAUCACUUAGUGAACAAUGCAAUAUUUUUAUGUUAUCAUUUGAAUAUAUAUAUGUAUAUAUAUACCAUUCUUAUUUCUUUAUUUCAAUUCUCACAUUUCACAUAUGUCAUAUCAUUCAAAUUUAGUUUUAUCAGUAAAUUUAUUUCAUUUAUCCCUAUUAACUUGACUCAAACUCGGCGGAUACAUUGAUUCCAACCAUCACACCAGUACGGCACAUUGUGCCUUAACGGUACAGAGUACCUAAACAGUAAUCAGUAACGGUAGCAUUAACAGUAACAGUAUUUAACACACAAAGUGCUGAAUCUGUAACAGUAACGGUAACAGUAUUCGACACAUAAAGUGUCGAAUCGGUAAUAGUAACAGUAACAGUAGUCAGCACAUAAGUGCCUGAUUAGUAAGCCGGCAAAAACCCGUACUCUUCCUUAUCCUAUGGCAUGCCAACUAUAUCCGACUAGUCCGACUAGUUAAUAGGGUAUCCAAGUCAUUUUUCAGUACAAUUUCCAUUUCGAUUCAAUAAUAAUUAUAAUUUAUUAUUUCAAUCAAUUUUCACAGUAAUAUAGUAGUUCGUUUCAUUAGAAAUUUUACAGUUCAAUGCAGUAUACGUAAUAAUAUUCAGUAAUUUCAUAGUUCAAUUCAGUAUUCAAAACAAUAUUCAGUAUCCCAUAAUUCAGUUCAGUAUCAAUCUCAAUUUUAAUACCCAAUCACAAAUUUUAUCAGUUCAUUAAAUACUUACCUUAAAAUACUUACCACACAUACAUACUAAAUUAAACACAUAUUAAUUAUAAAGCUUGAGUUAUAGUGAUACAAACCGGAAUUCUCUUUGGAUUUAAUCCUCGAUGAUAUUUUCUUUUUCUUUUUGAACCGAUGCUUCAGGCUUGAUAUUAGCAAUCAAAGCUUCAAACUUCAAAUCUCUAGUUUUUUCUUUUUCCCUUUUUUCCCUUUUUUUUUUCUCUUUUUCUCCCCUGUUUUCAAAUGCCUUCUGUUUCUUUUUCUUUUAUCUUUUAUUUACUUUAUUUAUUUAAUUAGUAUAUAUUAUAAUAUAUUUAUUUUAAAUACUAUUAAGUAUUUAAUCAAAUACAUAAAAAUGUACACCACCAAUAUCAUACACUUGUCAUCAUUUAUUUUAUUUUUAUUUUUAUCUACACAAAAAUCUAAUUAUUUAAUUAUCAAUGAUAUAAUUUAAUCUAAUUAUCUAUUACUUUAAUAUUAAGUCAACAAAUUAUUUUAUAACAAGUGCACAUGUAUCUAUUUAUUACAAAUGUACCAAUAUUUUUAUUACAAUUGUCAUUAUCUAAUUUGUUUAUUGUACAAAAAUAUCAUAAUUUAAUUAUUUAAUUAACAAAUAUCUUUAUACUUAAAUUAUAAGUAAUUUAAGUAUUUAACUUACAAAUGUACCAAUAUUUUUUAUUACCAUACAAUUCUCUACUAUUUAAUUUAUUUAAUAAUAAUACUAAUAAUAAUAUAAAACCAUAACAAUUAAUAAUUAUAAUAAUCAAUUAUAUAAUAUACAUUUAUGUAUAUAAUCUAAAUAAAAUCUUAGAUUUUUAAUACAUUUAUGCCGCCUCAACCAUUACUUAAUGGCAUAUUUGCCAUUUUGGCCUUUUUUACUUUCCAUUGCUUUAGAUUUAAACUUUUACCUCUUAUUCAAUUUAGUCCUUUUGCCUAAUUACUCUAAAUUAAAUUAAAUUCACCUAAUUAAAAUCUAAUUAGACACACCACUAAACUCAUAAAUAUUUCUAAUAAUUAUUUUUAAACCCAGUUCACUACGUCGAAGGCCCGAUAAUAUACUUUUCCGGUGCCCACGGAUUUUGGGUCGUUACAAUUGCAUUCAGUACAUAUUGAUUUAUUGUGAUUUUAUUCAUUGAUAUAAUGCAAGUUUAAUUAUUAAAUACAAAUAUAACUUUCAUAAUUUAUAGAUAAAUUUUACAUAUUUAAAUGAUGAUUAAUGAGUAAAAAAGUUUAUAUAUUUUACAAAAUAAAUUUUAUUAUUAUGAUUUUAUAUUAUAUUAAAAAUUUUGAUUAAAUUUUACGUUAGAAGUCAAACGCCAUACCAAUUCAAUUAAAAAAAAUAUUUAUACUUUUACAAUGUAAGAUGUAUUAUUAUAAUGAUAACUUUUUAUAUUUUAAUAUGUUUAUUUUUUAUAGCCAUAAUUUAAUAUUUUAGAAAUCAACAUUUAUUAAUAAAAAUAAAAAUCCAAAUUAUUUUGAUAAAAAAUAAGAACAAAUUAAAAAAAUACAUGAGAGGAUAAAAAAAUUUUAAAAAUAGGUAAACUAUUCUAUUAGUCUCUCAAUUUUAGGUAAAUUUUUAUUUUGACUACCUAACUAAAAAAAGUUACAAAUUGAUCACUAAUAUAUUUAAUUUUUUUUUCACUUGACUGCUAAGGGGCAAUGGUGGCACUUUUUAGUAGGCAUAAUAAUAUUUUUAGUCCUCAACUUUUAUAAUUUCUAUCAAUUUAACCUCAAUUCUAUAUAAAAAUUACAAAUAACUCAAAUUUAUUUAAAAAUUAGAAAUUUCUAUAUAAAAAUCCAAGUUAUUGCAACAACAAAUCCUCAGCUUUGUCAUAAAAUCAUGAAAGUCAAUUAAAAAUAGAUCAAUAUCGAUCUCUUAACAUAAUAUUCAUCUGAUAUAAAGCUUAAAUAUGAUUAAAAACUAAUGAUCAUGUAAUAAAACUCAAGAUUUUCUGAUAUUGAGGCAUAAGAACGAAAAUGGUCAUUCAAUAUAAUCAAAUAACAAAUUAAAAACGAAAUAAAACUAAGUCGGUAAUAUCUUCAAGUUAAAUUUCAUGUUAUUGAAAGACUUUUAGUGAAACCGAUAUUAUAGAGAUUUGUGAAAUCAAUUUUAAUAGCAAAAAAUAUACAAAAUAUACCAUAGAAAUUUCUUUUUCAAACUCAAUGCAUUUAAAUUAUUUUUCAUCAAAUCGUAAAAACAAUUUAUAUUCUGAAUCUUUUUCUUUUUCUUUUAUUACAAUGAAAUUCACUCAUUUUUUCUCACUUUAUCUAUUUUUGAAAUUUUCAUUUAAUUUUUUAUAUUUUCUAUUUUUUUAUAUAUUUCUAAAUUUUAAAAAGAUCAAUUUUUUUAUCAUUUUAUAUAGAACCGGUGUCAAAUUGAUAGAAAGUAUAAAAGCUGAGGAUAAAUUUGUUAUUAUAUAAAUAAAAAAUGCCACAGUUAGCCACUUAGGGCUAGUUUUGGCAAUGCUUUUGAAAAGUGCUUUUGAAAAGUGCUGCGAAAAAGUGCUUUUGAAAAGUUUGGUUUAAAAUUUGAGUGUUUAGCAUCGCUGUUAAAAAGUGCUUUUGAGAAAUAAAAUGUCAAUUUUAGACAUGUUAUUAUAAAGUAACAAAUAUACAUUUAAAUAAUAUUUAAAUUAGUUAAUAUUAUUAUAUUUUAGUAAGAAUAUAAAAAAAAUUAUUAUAACUUCUUGUUAAUAUUUUAAUAUAUAAAAUAUAAAAUAUAAAUAUUUUUAAGCAAUAAAUAUUAAUUAUUUAUAAAAUUUAAUUAGAAUAUAUAAACUAUAUUUUAAAUAUUUAAAUAUAACUAUUAAAUAUUUGUAAUUAGUAUUUUAAAAAAUAUUUUUUAUUUUUAAUUAAUGAUUUUAACACAUUUGUAAUUAAGUACCAAAAGAAAAAAAAAAGAAAGUACUAUGUUAUUGGAGGGGUGGAAAAGUAAUUAAGCAUUAAAAGUGCUUUUGGGGGAGGAAAAGCUAAAAAUUUCAGCCAAAAACAGCUUGUUCUGCACAGCUUUUCUUCCAGAAGUGCUUUUGGAGCCAGAAGUGCUUUUGAAAAGCAAUGCAGAACUGGCCCUUAAUGGUCGGGUGACCAAAAAAACUAAUUUCAAAAAUAUUAGUGACCAAUUUGUAACUUUUUUUAGUUAAACGACUAAAACGUAAACUUAUCCAUAGUUAAGUAACUAAUGUUGUAGUUUACCCUUAAAAAAAUAAAUUACUUUAUCCCAAAACUAAUAUAUUUUACUUUUUUACUACCUACCUUAGUGAUAGCUUUAAUUAGACUUAACCCUCGAAUCAGUACUUAAAGUAUAUAUAUAUAUUUUUUUCCAUAUUGUCAUUUUUUUAUUAUAAUUGGUACCUAAAUUAUAUUGUUUUCCCAACUUGAUAACUAUGUUAAUCUAACUAUUAGUCAUAAGUCAAUUAAAAAAAAGUUUAACUUACAAAUUAGUACUUAAAUUAUAUUCUUUUUCCUAAGUUGAUACCUAAACUUUUUUUUGGUCACAAGUGAUAUCUAAAUUAUUCUUCCGAUACUCAUUUUGCACUAAAAUGUUAUAUCCAUUAAAAAAAUUCAACCAAUAUUAAAUGCCACAUCAUAUGAUCCUUUUUAAAAAAAAUAUUUUUUAAUUUUAAUUUUUUUACAUUACUUCUCUCUCUUAAAGUUUUUCAAAUUUUUAUGUUUAGCAUUGCCAAAAAUAAUUGAAAUUUGACUUUUGGAGGUAGAGAUGCUGGCAAUUAAUUAUGUCUUUGAACUUUACCACCUAUUUGCUCAACCUGAUGAGAUCAAAAUUAUUUAUUCGAUCAAAAUCAGUGUUUUUAGAACCAGUUUGACUGGUUGGACUAAUUCAACUAAGAUUCAAAUGAGAUAUCGAUUUAAAGAUAGGGUUAAAUCGAAUAACUUGUGAAUUGAUACAAAAUAAUUGAAUCGAUCCAAAAAAAUCAAUUAAAUCUGUUUUCUCUAUUUAUAAAAAAUAUAUUUUUAUAAUUUUUAAUAAAUUAGUUGGUCGAACUAGACAAAUCGAACAAAUUGUGAACUGAUAGUCUAACCAAUCAAUUCAUUAUGAAAACCUUCAUCAAAAUGAUGAAGCCCAUAAUACUCGCACUUGUAGAAGAAACCCUAAUAGGAAGAAGAAGGAAAAAAAAGAGUAAAAAGACAUAAAUAUUUAUAAAGAGAAUAUAAUGCAUUUCAUCUUUUUGUUUUUAUUGCAUAACAAUUUUUACUCAGUAAUUAAAAAAAAUAGACUUAACGGUUUAACUGACAACUAGUAGAGGUAUCAACAUGAGAAAAAAAAAAGAUUAUGUACUACUUUUGAUAAAAAAUAUUUAGAUACCAAAUGAGAAAAGAAUGCAUAAUUUAUGUACCAAUUUGUACGUUAAGCUUUAAAAAAAAAAAAAACAAACUUAAAGGUUUGGCUAACAAAUAGAGUAAAGGAAGUACCUAAUUGGAAAAAGAAUAAUUUGGGUAUCACUUGUGAAAAAAAAAACUUUAAGUAUCAAAAUGAAAAAAAUGAUAUAGUUUAGGUACUAAUUUAUGAAUUAAGCUAUUAAUUUAAUAGUAUAGAAGAUAAUAAUAAAAAAAUCCGAACAGUUUCCAAGUGACGGCAAUAAACGGCUCUAAGGUUUGUCGUUUUCGUCGGUGCGUCACAACCACGCGCUGAUUAAAAGGAUCGUGGUCGACAACCACCAUCAAUUUCCCCCAAACAAUAUUUAUUUUAUUAUUUUCUGGAUUUUGUUAAGCAUGCAUAUUUUUUAACAAUGGGUAAACUACAAUCGUAGUCACCCAACUUUUGGUUAGUUUCCCUUUUUACCCAAUUAUUCGAUUUUUUUAUUUAUUGGUCGAUAGAAAAACGAUGUGACAACUUUUAAAUUGGAAUAAUAGCAACUUUAACCCUCAACAUUUAUAUAUUGUAUUAAUUUAGUUUGGUUCUAAAAAAUUUAACCCUCAACAUUUACACAUUGUGUAAUUUGGUUUUUCUUUUUCAAUUUACUUUUUUUUGUAAUCAUUUUAACUAAAAAGCUAAAAAAAAGCCUAUCAAAUAAAUUUGAUUGGAAAUAUACAAAAAAUGAAACAUCUAACAAUCCAAGAUAAUUAUUUCUGUAUUUUCUCAUAUUUUUAAAAUUAACCCUUAAUGUUACAAAUAAAAGUAAAACAGAAAAAAAUGACUAAAUUGUCAUAACGUGUAAAUGUCUAGAGUUAAUUUUUUUAAAUCAAUACUAAAUUGACAUAAUAUAUAAAUGUUGAGAGUCAAAGUUGUUACUAUACAAAAUUUAAAAGCUACCAUGUUAUAUUUUUGUUAGUAAUUUAACGAUUGGUGACCAAAAAAGAAAAAUUCGAAUAGUUGAGUGACCAAAAAAAAAGUUAAAUUGUUAAACCAUUUUGUAUCUUUUUGUAAUUGAAUGAAAAAAUACUAAUAAUUGAAAGACUACUAAUACAAUUUACCCUAUUUUUAAUAAAAUAAUGAAGAAACUAAUUUUAUAAUCUACAAGUACACUGUUUAGUAAAUUCUUUUUCUUAUUUUUUUAAUACAAAAAAGAAUCAGUAUUACCAUUCGCGUUUGCCUCUUUGCUGUAGCUACACUCAAGCAAUAAAAGCACCUCCCACCUUCCCCCACUCUCAAAAAAAUUUUCGUAUAUUUUUUCUCUUUAAAUUUUAUAUACUCUCAAUUCCAGAUAUCCUUUUCGUCCUUUCAAUUUUCCUCACUUUCUCUCUUUUAGAUCCCUCUUUUGCUUUUUCCCUUUUUUUUUUCUCUCUGGAAAGGAAAAAGAAAAGAAACGAAAAGAAAUUUUCUUUUUUGUUUUCUGCAAUUUUGCGGUAGAUCUUUGCCGCAUUUCAUGGAUCUACAAUCGCGGCGAGCUACAUUGUCUUAAUAUUUUAUUUUUUUCUAGGUUUUUUUUCUAGUUUUUUUUUUUAAUUUUUGUCGCUUGGUGGAGCAGUGGAGCUUCAGUUUUUGUUUGGUUAUGAGGUGUGUUGUUUUGGACGGAGAGUUUGGACGGCGGAGAAUGGUGCAAUGGAGCUUUAGGACUCACCGGCUGUUCUCUGACGAGGUUCGAGUUGGUAUCUGUGUUUGACGAUGGUUGUUUUGGACUCUGGUUCGGCGAGAUAAGAUGCCUGCUUUGGUUCUGCUUCAGUUGCUUCUUGUUUACUUACUCAGCUUUCUCUCUUGUUCUUGUUUAGGUAUUGUUCUUUCUGGAUACUUGCUCUUUUUCUUUUAGUUAAAUUUAUUUUUAAUCUACUUUGGUUACUGGAAAAUAUAGUAGCAAAACGGAAGAAAUGUGGAGUAAAAUCGAGUUCGAGUUAAGCUUUAAUUUUAUUUGGAAACAAAUAAAAACUAAACAUGCUUUAUUAAGCUAAGUAGACUUUGCUGAUUGGCCCUCCUAUGGCUACUUAUUUUUUCCACUAUAAAGUUCUCCCUUUAGCUCAGUGGCUCAGUGCUCAUUCUCUGGCCUUCGCCGAAAAAAAAAUGAAAAAAAAAACAGAUGCUUUGCUGUUUGAGUAAUUGUUCCGUCUUCUAUUUUAUAGUUCCAUAUAGUAUUAGGAAAAGAAUAGCGAAUUUGAAAAAAAAUGAGGGAAAAAAAUAUGUUAGAUAAUUUAUUAGUAUUUUAGCCACUCAGCAACAUGUCGUUCCGUGUUAGUUUUAUGCUGGUUAACUGAAAAAUUUGUGGUUAAGUGUGCUUAUACCAUGUUUCGUGUAUAAACAUAUAUGGUUUAUUUCGUUAUGGUGUCGUUUAAAAGGAAGUAUGAGCGUUGAAUAUCUUAUUAAAGAAUGUUUUUAGCAUUUUCUUUUGGGUAUAUCCUUUAUGAGUAAAGGAUCAAAAUCAGUCACUUUUGGAACUGUUAAAAUCUUUGUACUAAUUAUCAUAUUUUUGUAAACUUGUAAUAUACAAUUGUUACAUGAUCCAUGCUAAUAAAGGUGGUCGUUACCUUGUAGGCAUACCGUUUUUGUUUUGUUAUUGGUACUUAGCAAAUCGAUAUACCGUUUCGGGUUUUGUCGGCAUCUGUUAAGUAUUUCAUAUAUAGUCCAUUUUCAAGUUUUCUACUAAAAUAUAUAUUAUAUGUAGAUGCAAAUUUAUCUUUAUCCGUUAUAUCUAUAUAAAUGUAAAAUUUCAAAAUUAUGAAGAUCUAAUAAAUAAAAAGAACAUAAAAAUAUUAGAAAAAUAGUAAAGUAUUAUUAAUCAGGUUCAUUAGUCUAAUUUAAUGAAUAUAUUUGAUAUUUGAGUGAAAUUAUGAAAAUAAAAAUAAUCAUGAGUGAAAAACAUUAGUAAUUAGUUAAACGAAUAAAAAGGUUAUACUAAAAUAAAAUAAUAUUGUAAGAUUGUUUUUCUUCAGAACCAAUACUUAUUGGCCGGUAAUGAUAGCUGUAGCUGAAAUAAAGGCAUGAACAUGUAUCAGUGCAGUGAUUAGAGUUAACUAUGGUUCAUGAUGGAAGAUUGAUAUCAUUACCAUUUUAUUUUUCUUUAUUUUCAGAGCUGCAAGUAUUCUCGUAUCCUUUACAACCAGUGCACCGGUUGUCUGUUGUGGAAACAAUAGUUGACCAUGGUAAUGAUUUAUUUUCAUUUAUAUAAAUGUUAAUGUAGUCAAAUAAAAUUCUUUUUAUUUUGCCUCCUGUCUAUACUUGAAAGAAUUUAACCAUUUAUAUCCAAAUAGGUGGAGCUUGAUGUAGAAAUGCAGUAUCAUGAAGAAUGUUAACUGAAGGUCUUUAAAGAAAUGGAAUUUUAGAGUAAUAUGUGUUUUCUUGUGGCCUAAGCUAUUAUUGUCCUGAAGUGCUUUACUAUGCCUUAAGCUACUGAACUUGCCCUUAGCCAUGUGUCUUCAUAAACACCACAUAUUUGGCAAGUAUAACAAAUGACUGAAAAUAUUCAAAGAGGCAUAUUGUGUCUACUUCUUGUUGAUGGAGUGGCAUGUACCUGCUGAAAAAUUGUUGUCAUUUUUUUACUAGUUUAGGAUUUCUGUUAUACAGUUGUAUAUGUUCUUCUCACUAAUUGUUUUAGCCAAAAAAAUGAUAUCAUAAGACGAUUUGCCUCUUCUGAGUUUUGUUUGGAAGAGAAACUCUUACCUGUCUAUUUAUGAAGCAUGUGGUAGUUAUCAGAUAUGCUCUUCUUGUUCGUUUAUGCUAUCUGGUUCUCUCCCCUCAGUGUAUCUGAUCUUUAGAAAGCUCAAGCGGAAGCUCUUUGUUGAUCCUCCUGUUAGUUGUUUGGGCAUAUAACCCAAUAUGCUAAAUUCAUAACUAACAGAAGGCAAACAGGACAAGGUCAACUUGUUAUAUUUAUCAAUUUGAUGUUUGGGGCUGGUUAAUGGGUGAUUUUUAAAGGCAUUCUAACUUCCCUUUCAUUACUGUGCAUUAUUGCUUUUCACAUGGAUUACCAAUAAGGUUGCUCCACUCCUAGCAGCUAGGUUGAUUUCAAUGCGUGUGUUAUUUUCUCAACCAAGAUCACCCCAAGAUCAUGUUAAUCCUUCCUUUGGACCAGCCACUGCGCCUGCACCUUCUCCUAUCUAUCAAGGUACUUAUUGCAAUCCAUUUCCAGCACCUUGCUACUACAUUAAUGCUAUCAUGUGGCUGAUGCAUAUUGCAUUGCAGCUCCUGUUGCUAGUCCCAGUAGGCACUUGGUACCCAGACAUCGUCAUGGUGGUCACCAUCAUCGUCAUCAUGUUAAACCCCGAACAGAUGCUCCAUCUCCUUCAGAGCAAGGUAACUUGCUAUGGUCCUUAAGCAGUAUCUAGAGGAGAUGACCUCUAAUGCUCGGUUUUUCUUUUGUCCCGAAAGAGAAAGAAAUUACUGUUUAAAUUUUAACCUUAAUUGUGGGAACUACAAACAUAUUGCUAGUCUAGGGGAUUAUGGUGAUGUUGAUUUACUUUGUUUAAAUACAUGUAUAGUUUCUUUUGCUUCUUUGUGGUUUUUGAUUAUUAAACUUGUCAGGUUGUGAUCAAAAAUGCGUGGACCCACUUACUGCAACCCCUUUUGGUUCACCUUGUGGUUGUGUGUUCCCUAUGAAAGUCAAACUUCUUCUAUCUGUAGCUCCUUAUGCUGUUUUCCCUGUGAUGAAUGAGCUAGAGAUUGAGGUUGCUGCAGGCCUAUACUUACAACAAAGUCAAGUGAAAAUAAUGGGUGCUACUGCUGAUGCUCAAGAUCAAGGGAGAACAUUGGUGGAGAUUAACGUGGUUCCACUGGGAGAGAAGUUUGAUAAUACAACUGCAAUACUUACAUCUGACCGGCUUUUGCACAAAAGACUGUCUCUAAAUUCAACUCUUUUUGGAACAUAUGAUGUGGUAUCCAUCAGUUAUCCAGGUACUGAUCUGUUUUUUUUUUAGAUAACUUAACUUCAUGCUAUUUUGUUGUUAUGUCAUGUUUAUAACUUGAAAACAUGUUAUCAGGGGUUCCUCCUUCACCGCCAUAUGGUAAUAUUUUCGGGAGUGGUCCAACUGGAAGUACUGGAGAUCUCCCAAUCACAGCUAAUUUUGUUAACAAGAACCAAAAGAUGAACAUCAGGAUUAUUGCCAUUAUCGUUUUAUCUGCUUUUGUGCUCUUAUUGGUUUUAGCUGGAGCAAUCUCUGUCCUCAUAAAAUGGAGGAAGGUUAGAAGACCGUCCAAUGCUGUUGGUCCAGCUUUUCCUUCCUCAUUGAACAAAAGAUCUGGUAGGUUUACUAGUUGGCUUUAUGUUUGACAUUUAGAUUCUGUUGCAUGGAAUUGCAAUGUAAUGUGAUGCUGGUAACUGGUUUUCCACUAUUGCUGUUUAGGCACACACACACACACACACACACAAUCCUAAACUGGUAUAUCUUUAUGUAUUUUAAUGGUUCAUUUCUCUUAAAGCUGUGAAGUUUGAAUAUGCAAUAAUUGGAAUUUUGAUGCCUGGAUCUAAGCUAGUUACAUUUCCUUGUUUGGAUGGACUAAUUUGAUGCCUGUGAAGUUGGAAUAUAUGAUAAUCUCUCCUUUUUGUUAAUGCAGGCAUUGGUUCUAUGCUGUCAAGCAGUAUAACAAGCUCUCCAUCAAUGUCACUCAUUUCCACCAUGGCUACUUGUGCUCUCCCGGUUAAAACAUUUACACUUGUUGAGCUUGAGAAGGCAACAAGCAACUUCAGUUCAAAGAGGAUACUUGGUGAAGGAGGAUUUGGACGUGUUUACCGUGGUGUUAUGGAAGAUGGAAGUGAGGUAGCUGUUAAGUUACUUACAAGAGAUAAUCAGAAUGGAGACCGUGAAUUUAUAGCGGAAGUGGAGAUGCUAAGCCGAUUGCACCACCGCAAUCUUGUCAAACUUGUCGGUAUAUGUAUUGAAGGACGCAUACGCUGCUUGGUGUAUGAACUUGUUCCAAAUGGAAGUGUGGAAUCACACUUGCAUGGUAUGAUUUCCUUAUCAAAUUUGUCUGUUUUGUUUAUUGGACUGAUUGCUUGUUCAAUUAUCCUGAAAUAUGUUGCCUAGUUCAUGACUGUUGCAAUGCUAUCCAAUAUAUAUGUAUAUAAAUAUGCAAUUCUAGUUUGAUAAAGAUGGAUUGACCUUUAAUCCAUGUUUCCUUUAUAUUGUUGGUUUAGGUGUUGACAAAAACAAAGGACCUCUCGAUUGGGAUGCACGGCUGAAGAUUGCCCUUGGAGCUGCUAGAGGAUUAGCUUAUCUUCAUGAAGAUUCUAACCCUCGAGUGAUUCACCGAGAUUUUAAGGCUAGUAAUGUUCUAUUAGAAGAUGACUUUACCCCAAAGGUCUCAGAUUUUGGUUUAGCAAGGGAGGCAACUGAAGGAAGCCAGCACAUUUCUACCCGAGUCAUGGGAACUUUUGGGUAAUUAUUCAUUUUUGCGUUAAUUAUCAUAUGUUAGCAUUAAAUUUCCUUGAAACGUAUUACAUACUUCUACAUGUCUUCCAACUUACUGGAGAAGGGAGAAUAAUAAGUAUCAAAAGUUAAUUCAUGCGAAUUUUAUGAAUUGAUCCAUAAAAACACUUUCGCUCUUCAGAAUAUUGUUAAAGGUGAAAUUUGUGAAUUUGCAGAUAUGUUGCUCCCGAGUAUGCUAUGACGGGGCAUCUACUUGUUAAGAGUGAUGUUUACAGUUUUGGGGUCGUGCUUCUUGAGCUUUUAACCGGAAGAAAACCUGUGGAUAUGUCCCAACCUCAGGGACAGGAAAAUCUUGUAACUUGGGCACGGCCUCUACUAAGCAGUCGGGAAGGUGUAGAACAGUUGGUAGAUCCUUCCUUGGCUGGGACAUAUAACUUUGACGACAUGGCUAAGGUGGCAGCCAUAGCAUCCAUGUGUGUUCACCCUGAGGUGACUCACAGACCUUUUAUGGGUGAAGUUGUGCAGGCUCUGAAGCUUAUAUACAACGACACUGACGAAACUGGCGGGGAUUGUUGUAGUCAAAAGGAGUCCUCUGCCCCUGAAUCCGACUUUAAAGGAGAUUUUGCCCCUUCUGAUAGCAGUUGGUGGAAUGCUGGUGCGGUUACCCCUGGAUUAACUUAUGGACGAUCCUAUCCUUUCGUCACAAUGGACUAUAGUUCUGGUCAACUGGACGAAAUGGAAAAUCGACCGUUCUCAACUUCAAGUUUGUUUGGAGAUAGAACAUCGUUACCAAAUAGACACGGUAACAGAUCAGGUCCAUUGAGAACGAUCCGAAGCAAGCCAAGCUUUUAUACAUUAAGAGGGAGCAUGAGUGAGCAUGGGGGACUCCUUCCGAGACGAAUUUGGAGCGACUCCAAUUGGGUUUGAGCAUUUGUUUUCCCAACUAUUUUUUCUUUUUGAAUUGUACAGAGAUCGAAAAGGCCAGGGCAUGGUUGAUGGGUAGCAGAAUUUCGGGGAUUCCGGAGUGUUUCCAUGUUCAUCAAGGAGAGAGACCCGACCUUAGCUACUUUAUUUUUAAAAGUCUUGAUUCCUUACCAUACAAAAAAAAAAAUGGAGAUGUAAGUUGAAAACUUCUCGACUGUUUUUAUGUUUAUUGGCAAGAAAAAAGAGUUCAAUUUCUUAUGAUCCAAUGCUGAAUCUUUUUUGCUACAAACAAUGGGGUUGAAUUAGGUUAAUCGCUCUUGCAAACAAAAUAUCAUUCCUUUUUUUGAUCUUUUUAUGUAGCAAUGCAAACUAAAUCAGGUUAGGAUUUGGGACUGUUUUUAAUUCAGGUGGAAUUCAAAUUUGGUUAAACUAAGAAGAUGAUGAACUUUAUACGUACACUACACUAACAUUAUAUGUUUGAAUAACUAAAUGAACUGAGAAAUAUAUCAAUUUACAUGACUUAUAUCAUAUAAAGCAAAAGAGUUUCAUUUUAAAAUCUCGAGACAAAAUAUAGAUGAAACUCUAAGCCUUUUCUCUUGCUAAAUAAAUGGGUAAUUUUUUUUUAAAUUAAAAUCUUGUUACAGUAUAAGUUUUUCUAUAUUAAAGUACAUAAAUUUAAAACCAUAUAAAUUUAAUUAUAAAUUAACUUAUUUUGGUCUCAAAAUUAUUAUUUUAGAAGUUUUGAAAAAUUUUAACUUUCUUUAUAUAUUAUAAUUUUUUUUAAAAAUAUAUAAAAUUUGAAAUUUUUAUAAACAUGUUGAAUUUUAAAAAGUAUUUUAAUUUUUUUUAUAUUUUUUUGUUGAGAGAGAGUAAUUUGUUCAUUUUCAAAAAUGUUAGGGACUAAAGGAUGUUAUUUGAGUUAUUUGAAUUGUAAAAUUUAACUUCACUCAAACUUAAAUUACUUAUUCAAGUUGACUUGAAUAAUUUAAUUUGAUUAACUCAAAAUUUAAACAUAUUUCGAAUUGAAUAGUGUUUUAUUCAAUUUUUUAAUUACCUUUUAAUAUUAAAUUUUUUUAAAGCCGAAGGAAUCGCCAAUAUCAAAGGAGCUAAGCUCUUGGAAUGUUUGAGAGGCGGACACGUGAUCAUUUUAUAAGGUGGAGGCGAUUCCUUGGGCUUAAUGGUUGGGCUAUGCUUUUGAGACAUCUUCAGUCAAUAAUAAUAAAGAUUUUUUAUAUAAAAUAAUCUAAAAAUAUUAAUUAAUUAUGAAAAUAAUUUAGAGAAUAAAUUAUAUACGAAAACGAUCAGUUUGUUAUAGUAUUAGCUGGUAUCGUCUGACUAACCGGCGGCACGACCCCACUUUUCUCCCUAAUCACAACCCAAUCAUCAAGAUUUAAAAUAUUUUUUUCGGUAUCGUUACUAUGUUAAGUGGAAUCCGUAUGUUUUUUCAAAUACCUAUAAAAAAAACAAGUAUCCGUAGUGGAGAAAAAAAGGAAAAAUAUUUUUUAAUGGGUGUCGUUAGUCUGUAAGGCGGCACCAAUCAAAUUUAAAAAAAAAAUUCUACCAAUGAAAAUAGGAAAAAAAUAAUUUUUUAUCCUAAAAGACUUCACAUUGCAACUCGAACUCCCAGUUGACAGUGAAAUGGUCACGAGUUUAAAUAAAGUGUUCGAACCUGCGACAUUCUGCUACCACCUGCUUGGAUGCUUGCCCAGUGAUGGUGAAACUAGGUUUACCAGUUUGAAAUUUUCCUGGUUAAAAAAAAUUCAAAACCUUAUUGAGUGGUGUCAUUGAGUGGGAAAAGAUGUGCGCUGCUUGAGUGUAUAUACUGCAAUUGAUAGGGGGUACUUAUGCCAGACGCAAAUAAUAAAGUCCACAUGAAGUACUUGUCUCUAUUGACUUAUUUGCAUGUUACAUGUUUGUACAAUUGGGGUUCACUAGUAUUAGCGACAUUGUAUCAUGAACUUUGUCGAGCGACAAAAGCAUGAUACAUAAGAUAUAGAUAGGUGUCUGAUACUGCUAUAGUUCUGGGCAUUGUACAUGAUGUUAUUUUUGGCGUUAGUGAGUUAUUAAUCACGUGUUCCCACUUGUAAAUAGGUAAAAAAAAUUUAAAACUUCAAUCAAUAAAUUUUUUCUUUUGAAAAAAUAUUUUAACAAGUUUGAUUUAUUUUUAGAUGGUUUAUUUGUUCAAAUAUCGAAGUUCAAAACCCUUGCCGUAUACCGACAAAUGAUUGAGGCAUAUAUCGUGGAGAAGGUAAAUAUUUUUUCAAAACAAAAUUUUAUUUAUACCAUGUAAUUACUUUGUUUAUGUUAUUUGACUUAUAUCACUAUAACAAUGUUAUUAAUUAUGUAUAGUUUGUAUGAAUAUCAUAUACUGUGCUGGAUGUUGUGACUAUCAUUCCCCUGUGGGCUCACAACGAUUCACUCGUGUGAUACAUUAACACACCCGUGUUGAAAUUUUCAACUGUUAAGUGGUACAAUGGGGAUCGAGUUCUGCGACACUUUGGGUGCAAACAAGAUGUUUCGGACAUUUCACCUAACUUCGACAGUUUCCAUGAAAUUAAUAAGAGGGUAAAAGACGCAAAUAAUUGGGCAUCGAAACAUCAACAAUAAAGUGAGAUCAAAGUCUUCAUGUCUUCAUCAUCUACAAGUUUCAUCUCUUUAUAUUUACACAGAUUUGAUGAAACUGAAAAUUUGUAAAAUAGUUUGAACAUCCUCUUCCCACAACAUCGAGCUAUUUUUGCACUAAUAUUUUGUUUUGUAUUUUCGACUUUUACAUUCUUAUUAAAAUUCGUUGCUAUUUGCUGAUGAGAUUCAAAUAUAUAAUCAAUUGUUGUUUGUAAAAUUAUCCUUUCGAAAUGAACGUAUAAAAAGAAUUGCUUAUUCAUCUUCGAUAUAAUAUCUGUAAAAUAAAUAAAAAUAAAAAAUAGAUUUUAUUUAAAAAAAUAGUAGCUCCUAUUAGAAAAACAUAUAAUUUCAUACAAAUAAUUACAAACUAAUCUUAUAAACUCGAACUUGAUUUUUAAAAUUUAAAACACAAAUCUUCUCGUCUUUUUUUUUUCUCUUAAGUAGAUACAAAAAACUUAAAACAAAAACCAAAAUAUUAAACAUAUACAAAUUUUUGGUCGGGGUGGGGUUAGGCGACACCACUAAUAAUUUUUUUAAAAAAAAUAUUGGUGUUACUUGACACACCAGCGACAUUCAUUAAAUUUUUUUUCCUGUCAACUUUCCAUUAGUGUUGCUUGACAUACUGGUGACACUAAAUAAAAAAAUUCACAUGUGCCGCUUGACAUACCAGCGACAACAAUUAAAAUUUUGUUUCCUUUUAUUAUUGACACACUUUAAAAAAAAUUGACUAGUGCCACCAAACAAACCGGUGACACCCAUUAAAGUAUAUUUUUCCCUUUUUUUUCUUCACCGUGAAUACUUAUAUUUUUUCACAUGUAUUUCGAAAAAGACAUACAAAUGCCACCUGACAUUGUAACGACACCAAUUUUUUUUAACACUGAUGAUUGGGUCAUGAUUAGGAGGAAAAGUGGGGUGGUGUCAUCGGUUGGUCAAGUGACACCUACUGGUAUUUUAACAAACGAAUCAUUUUUAUAUAUAAUUUUCCCACCAAAUUAUUUUCAUAAUUAAUUAAUAAUAAGGCUUAAUACUUUUUUAGCUUCUGAAUUAUAGUUAAAUUAUCACUUUAAUAUUUGUACUAUUUUUCAAUCGAUUUAGCUCCUGUGCUUUUAUUCUGUAUACUCUGAGAUUCUAUCAAUAUUUUUCAUUAAAUUUUUUUUUAUCCAAUCAAAUAUUAUCACUUGUAAAAAGAAUCUAAAAUUUCUUUAUAUAAAAGAUUUUUGAAGUUUAGCGUAGUUAUAAUUUUAAAAAUAUGUUUUUAUAAAUUUCAAAUUUAUUUAUUUUUGGAUAUUUCAUAUUUUUAAUGAUUUCUAGAAGAAUUUCUCAUGCUUUCUAAAAUUUUAAAUUUUUUACUAACUUUUUUUUUAUAAGUAAGAGUGUGUCACUGAUUUAAUAUUGUUUUAAAUUCGGAUAAUAGAGAGAGGCUAAAUUAAUAAAAAAUAGUGUAGGUAUUAAAAUAAUAAAGAUCAGGGCUGGUACUCCAACCCCUAAAAUAAAAAUUUUUUAUUUAAAUUUUUUAUAAUUUAUAAAAUUUUAAAUAAUAAUAAAAAAUUAUAUUUUAACCUCUAAAAAAUAUAAAAUUUUAACUUAGUCCUUUAAAAUUAUAAAAAUAUAAAUUAUUAAAAUAAUAAAUUACUCAUCCCUCGUCAAACAAAUUUUCUUGCGAUGAAAUGAAAUGAUAGAGCUAAUAAUAAUAAUAGGAGCGAAGAAUUCGUGCGUGGCCGUGGGUCCAUGGCUCACGGAAUCAAUCAAUCUACGUGCAUGACUCAAUCUAUAUAUUUAAAGAUGACCGCAUCGUAGUAUAUUGUUUUUUUUAUAUAAAUAUUUGCCCUACUGAUUUUUUUCCUCUUUCACAAUCGUUGAAAUGUACAAAUGAUUUCCCCAUAUCCAAGCAUCAAUUACAUAAUUCUUCAUUUAAAAAAUAUAUAAUUUCUUCUAUAUUAAUAGAGCACUAAUUCGAUUAGAAGAAUUAAGAAAACCUCUUUUCAUAUUUAGAAUAAGUUAUAUUAUUUUUGCGUUCUUAAAUUUUUUUUAAAUAAAAUAUUAUCUUCAUCAAUUGUAUAUAUUAAUAAUGUUAUUGAUUGAGUUAGUGUCACAAGUUAACUCGACAUCAACUUAAAAUUAAUGAUAGGAGUGUAAUUAAUAUUCUUAAUUUGAUGUAUUUACGUAUUUAAAUUUCGUUUUACUCACAAUUUAAUCAUUUUUUUCUCAUUUUAACAUAAUACAUAUUGCAUGUAUCUUUAUUAUAAUUAAUUAAUUUUAAACCAUACAUUUUACUAUUUUUUGAAUGUUAUUUUUAAACACUCUCAUAUUCUAGAUACGUGAUUUGUACACAUAUAAUAAAAUUUCUAGUUAAAUUUAAACAUCUCAAAACUAUUUUAAACAUACUAAUAGUAACUUAUCAUUUUAACUUUAAAAGAAAUGCUCAUCACCCAUUUUCAUGGAUUUUUGGCCUGUUCAAUUUUAUUUUAUUUUGCUUCAAUUUAAUUUACACUGUUGUUAUAAUUUGCUUUGUUAAAAAAUAAGUUUUUUAAGUAAUUAAUAUUAAAUUAAUAUUCAAUUGACUUAUAAUAUCAAUUUGAUUAAUUAUCUAGAGUAAAUUAUAUUUGUAGUCACUUAAUAAUUAGUAAAUUUCUUUUUUUAUUAUUCAAGUACGAAAAGUUAUAAAAUAGUCACUAAACUAUUAGUAAAAUUGAAUAAUUAAGUGAUUAUUUUGUCACUUUUCAUAAUUAGAUGACCAAAAAAUAAAUUUAUUAAUAGUUGGAUAACCAUUUUAUAAUUUUUCAUAGUUGAGUCAUCAAAAAAAAUACUAAUACUUAAGUGACUAUUAAUAUAGUUUAUCGAAAAACUUAAUAUAUAGUAUAAAUAUUAAAACUUUUAAUUAAAUUAAAUAAAGAAAUUUUAUUACGUAAAUAAUAAUUCAAGCACCAUUGAUAUACAAAAAUUUUCCCAAACCCCAACUCGGUUAAAUUCAAAGCUAUUUGGUUGCAAUACCAUUUACUAUUAACUCAGAAUUAAUAGUUUAUUAUGCUAUUAAAGGAUUAAUACUUUGGGUGUGACCAGGCAAUCCACAUGGGUGCAAUUAAAGAAGAUUCCAACAUUAAUGGAGAAGCACAUAAAGCUUGGGGUAGGUCCACUACCAAAAGCGAAAAAUAAAUAAAAAUAAUAAAAAUAAUCUAUGUAUUGCAUUUUAUUUUUCUAUUAACUUCAACAUUAAACCAUGCAAAUUUUGGAAAUAAUUAUGUUAGAGUUUCAUGUUUUAACUACUUAGCUAGAGAAGCUAAUUAACCUUUUGUGUAAACUCAUUUUUGUUUUCUUACGAAUAGUAAAGGAGAAUUGCUCAGAUUCAACCAACUUAUAAUUGGAUUUUUAUUUAUUUUCGGCCUUUACAGGUAAAUAUACCUGUUACACUUUCGUGUUAAAUCUUUCUUGUUGAUAACUCUGGGAUAUAGAGUUAUUUUAUUAUUUUAAGCUUAUAUUUUAUUCAAAUUAAGAGUGAUUGAGAGUAUUUUAGUAGUUGUUUUAAUUAUGUUUUUGUUAAGUAGUUAAUAUUUGAAGCUUGUAUUUUAAUAAUGUAUUUUGGCUAAUUUCUAUGCUAAAAAUAUAAAUUUUUAUCCUUGAAGGUGUCUAGUGAAACAAUAAAGAUGUGGAGAAAAGAAUUUGCCAAAAUUCACAAAUUGAAGCUCAAUGCUGUAGCAUGGUACCCAACAAGAACAAUUGAAAACUUUACAUCUAAAGAAUGCCAUAUCAUCUUUGGGGCUUAAAUUACCCCCUAAUCAAGUGCUGAUAACAAUCAAGGACCUAAAAAAAUAGGCUAGACAAGAAUGUGAAAGCCCAAAUCACUUUCAAGAGGACAAGAAUAGAAAGGAAAGUCGUUGACCUAGACUAUCUUGCUUGAAGGGAUACACAUACCAUAUUUUUUAUCAAGGAGACGAGUAGUUGUUGGGCAUAGAACGGAACUUUCAGAGUAAAAGCACUAGAAAAGAAGUUGAGAAGAGGAGGAAGAAUGAGACGUGAACGACUUGAGGAGAACCACCGACGUUUGGCUCAAUAUCUCUUCACCUUUCUCUUUAUCUGUUAUUUCGUUUCUCUAUUGUUUGAAACCAUGGUUGAAAUUUGUUUGAGUGUUUUUAGUUUGAUGGUUAUGGGCUAAAAAUUAUUUAACUAGAAUGAUUAUUGAACCCUAAUAUGGGAUUAUUGGUACUUUGCGAAGGAUGCUUGGUGCAAUUUGAUGUUUAUUCAUUCAAGUGAUUUUCAUGUUUAAUGCUUGCUAUUGCCUAAUCAACAUUAGUGGGUAAUUGAAUUCAUUACUAAAUCUAAAAGGGUUGUGAUUAAUGGGCAUAAAGCCUGAAUGGUGCAUAUUAAAUCUCCUUGAUGUUAAAUUUGUAAUGGUAUAGACAUAUAUUGUUACUGUGCAUAAUCUUGUAGGAACGGUGCUAGCAAUUGUAAUAUUGAUAUUAACUUGGGAUAGACAUAUGUUAAAUUGAUAAAAGUUUGAACGUAGUGACUUCGAGAGUAGCCUACAACUUGUUGAUUUCGAAUUAAUAAAUUGUCAUAUUGCCGCAACAUUGCUAUGACAUCGCUACAAAUAGUUGCAUAUUAGGGGGAACUAAUUGUUCCGACGCUUCAUCUCAUUGAUAUUUUUUGUGUUACUGUUUUUAGCUUGUUUCGUAUAUUUCUUUGCAUUCACUCAGGUUUUUAUUUACUUUCCUAGUUGUCGUUAUUAAUUUUGCAAUUAUUGUUUUAAAAUUAGUCACUGUGGAGAUAAUAACUCUAAUAUUUACUACUAUAUUAAUUGUGAGCAACUGUGAUCACGUGCACAUUAUAAGAAAAUUUCACGACAAUUAUUAAAAUAAUUAAUUGUUAAAAGAAUUUAAAAAUAUACAAUUUCAUCAUAACUUCAUUAAGAGAACUUAAUCUCGUGACUUCUUCUAAUCAUCUUAUCUAGCGAGCUCACACAAUACACAAAGAAUAUAUUGGGAAGGAUCUCUUAUGGUAUCCUUCAAUCCAUCACAUUCGAUAGAUGUCUUAUUUAGUCCUUUCAGGUUGACUCCACUAGUACCCUAAGUUGACAUCUGCAAUCUUAUUAUGACAUUGACCGGAGCAGAAAACUCAAAGGAUAGAACCUAUGUCUAGUUCCUCUCUCUGUAAAUCCUCUCUCUGUAAAUACAACAUCAACACUGAAGUAAAAGACAAGAAGAAUAUAUAGACUUUACUUUGCUAAAAAACUCCAUCCCCUAAGCUUCCUUCGGACUUUUGCAUUUUUUGUGGUGUGAACUGCCCCUCAUUUUUGUCCCUUUAAUGUGUAAAUUGUCAUAAUAAGCCACCUGAAGUUUUGUGUUAUAACAAAGAUAAUUCAUGAAUUUAUGUUAAUAUAUUUUAUGGUUUCGUAAAUUCAUUUGAAGUACUUUACAUAUAUAUUAGAAGUUUAUAUUAUUUAAAAUUGAAAUUAUUGUAUCAUGUUCAAAAUAUUAUUUUUCUCUUUUUUUUGUUGAAUUACACAUAUAAUUAUAAUUUUCAGUUGAAACAAUAUACAUCAAAUAAUUAUUACCAAAUUAACCAUUACAAAAAUGUGACGAGAUUAAUAAUUAAAAUAUAUUUGAAUUUAAAAUAGAAUAAAUUUGAACAAAACCCAUAUACGAUAGACUUAAAACCAAAAUAAAAACAAACAAACAUACAACUUAUAUAUAUUAAUAUAAUAUUUUAACUAUUUUUCUACAUAUAUUUUAAUAUAUUUUAAAGUUUAGUGAACAAGUCAACAUUGAUGAUUGAUUGCAACUAGUUUUUCUACUAUUUUUCAUGUUGAAUGCAAGUAGUUUUUCUUGGAAAGAUUACAUCACAUUUGUUCUGUCACUUUCCUUCAAUCUUUCUUGCAUUUUAUGAACAACCAAAGACACUUGUUGAAUUGGAUACACAUCAACUUAUUCGAUUUAUUUUGGGUAUUCUUUAUAGAUAGGUUCUAACAUUAAUUCCACCUUUAUCUAAUUUAAGGGCAUGCACCAAUUCCUCCUUCAAUUUACCUUGUACCGUAAGGUUUGCAGGAAUAGUGGCAAAAAUGAGAUGCUAUUGGCACUAAAUUGCUAUUCUUCGAAACAGGAAAAAUUAUUUUCUAAGAUUAAUCAACAAAAAUUCAUUCAUCAAUUCAACAUAAUAACACAUAAAUCAAGAAAAAAAACCUCAACACUUUCUUAUAAUUGAAACAGAGGAAGACGUAGAGAAUGGAUUUACAAGUUGGUAACAAGAAAGAAGAAACAAAAAGAAUGAAUUGCCUAAACAAAGAAAGACAAUAAUGGUUGUGUGUUUUUAAGAGUUUUAGUUUCUUUUUAGAAAAAGAUUGCUUAAGAACAAAAAAAAAAAAGGAAUAUGUCUCAAAUUUGAGAGGUUAAGAUUUUUUAUGUGUUAAAAGCAAAGAAAAAGUUAAAAAUGAAUAGAAACCGGAGAGUAGAGGAAGAGAUGAAUACUUAUAAUUUUUUUUUUUAAGUCUAAACAAGAGAAUAACCAACGCGAAAUAUUAAAACUUGUAUAUAGUCAUAAUUGUUCAAAUCAACAAAGUUGGUUAUUGAAACAAUAAAAUUUUUGUUAUAUUAAAUUACUUCUUUUUAUAUCAAUGCCAAUGUUAACCGAGUUAAAAUCCAAACGACUAUAUUAGAUUAUUUUAUUAUUUAUUAUGCAAUUAAAUAAUAAUUAAAAUGACAUAAAUUAUAUUAUAAAUUAAUAUUAUUUUAUGAUAAAAUAACAAGAAGUCAAGAUUUGAUGAAGAAACAAAAGAAUUUUAUGUAGAAAAUUUGAUGAAAUCGUGUAAAUGACAAGAAGAAAUGGUUCACUCCAACUAAUUUUUCAAAUAGGUAAAAUUGCUCUCAUAACCUAAGUCAAAUUACUACUUAAGGACCUCCUCUAAAUCUAAUCCAUAUGUAUAGUUAUAAAACAUUGAUCUCUCUUACAAUAAAGUACAUUUCUUAAAAUUCUAACCAAAUAGUUAAAACUAAGGGAAGCAACUUAAUAACAAUUACUAACUAUAUAAUAACACAUACCAUCUACCCGAACUCAUUCCUAGAAAUCUCUUAAUUUUAUUUCAUGGAAUGGCUUGAUUUAAGAAUUAUCAACAUUUUCCAAGCUUUUCGUCUCUAGAAUUUUUUGGGCACUAUAAUUGUUAUGUUGAUAUGCUUAAAUUUUGCCUUUAUGUCCAUUUAGUAUGCACUUGACUUAAUUGGUGUAUGAUGUAAUUCAAAGCUUGUAAAGCACCACUGAACUUUAGGGAAAGCUCAUUGUGUAAAAUUUUGUUCGUAGGCUAUAGAUGAACUGGAAGUAGUUCAAGUGUUGGAUUGCAUCAUCUUGUGGGAUCUUAUCUGCUCAACUGUUAUUAUAUAUUCUUUUAUAUUUCUAGUAGUGUAUGCCAUGUACUUAAGUUUUAAAGUUUGAUAUUGGAGUAUUCUAUUACGAACUUGACGUUGAUUUUAGUUAUUUUGAGGUUUUAGAGCAUGUUAAUGCUAUGUGGUAACAUUGGACACUUUUAUAUUGACUUUGUGUUGACGAUCUUAUAUGUAUACAAUAUGUUUUAGCUUUUCAUUUUACUUGCAUAAUCAUUUAUUGAUUUAAUGAGUUUAUGGUUAUGGAUUUUCAUGUUUUGACAUGCCGUAUUUGCUUACAUAAUUCUGGUAAUAUGUUUGAUAUGUUAGGGACAUGUUUGUAUAGUUUAAGUGUUAAUUUUCUACAAUUCUAAGUUUGAACAUAUCUCAGAGAUGAGAAAAAUAAAAUUGUUUGCUCAAGCAUUCUCAUGUGCAUGCCUUACGGCAUAAAACAUCAAAGUUAAAAUUCUAAAAUAGAGAAAGCAUGUCUCAAGACAUAGCAUUGCACUUUGAUAUUUUUGUUUAAAAUUUGUAAUCUAGUAUCUUAUUUGACCAUAUUUGACCCCGAAUGAUUGUAUGUGCACCCAUUUGAAUUCAAUUUUCACCUAUAUUGAUUUGUAAGAUUUCUAUGCAUUAGAUAACAUGUUUUACAUUCAAAAUUGUCUAAUUAUGAUUAUUUAUACAUUCACUUUGAGUAACUUUGACAAUUGGUGUGAUGCUUAAUAUUCGAUUGUCUUUCAAGCGGAGUGUAAGGUGUUACAUAAACAACCUUUGACUUUAUUAGUAUCUAUAUAAGCAAAAUAUAUUAAGAAAUAUCAAAUCUUUUGACACGAAGACAAAUGACAACUUAAUCACCUGUCCUCAAUUACUCAGUUGAGCCUUUAAUUUUGACUCAUAAUACAGACAAUGGAGUAAUCAAACACUUCUCAUGACUUUUUAACAAAAGGUAUUCAACAAACUUACCACAAAAGCACCAAUCAUAGCUAGUAGCUACCAAAAUUUAAUACUUUUAAGCUCACAUGAUCAAUUCAUAAAGCACUAACUACUCAAAAGCAUCAAAAUUAUGGACAAAAAUUGAGUUAUAAACAUACAAUAAAUAAACAUAUAUACUUUUUAGAUUUAAAAAUAAUUAUUUAUAAAUUUCAAUAAUUCUAUUAUAAAUAAAUGAAAGAAGCACAUAAAUAACAAUAAUAUUAUUAAUACAUAAUAAUCGAAUAUCAACAUGCUCUAUUAAACAAAUAUAAAAAAAUUUAUUUAUGAACAUAAAUAAACCAAUUAAAAUUUAUUCACAUUUUAUUUAUUUAAUAAACGAAUUUCAAAAUUUUGUUAGUAUUUAUGUAUUACCGUCACUAAAUCGAACCAUUAUUUACCGCUCAUCCAUUUUGUUUCGGCGAGAACCGGACGCAAACCGGACGCGCUUUUUCCUUUAAAAAAUUAAUCUGAGUUGUCGUACUGGCCCCUCAAAAGAAUCUGAGUUAUCGUCAAAGUUCGUAAUUAUGUUCCCAAAUCUAGGGUAUUUUCGGAAUUCGACUUUCCAGGUUACGGUUUGCUUAAACAAAUUAAUAAUUAAUAAAUAAUGAAUUAUAAUAUUAAUAAACAUUAAAAAUAAAGAGUUUCAUAGUAUUAAGACCAGCCCUAAGAAGAGGGAAGAAGAAGAAAUGAAAAGAAUUAGAAAAACGUAGAAAAUACAAAAACUAAAAAACUACAACCAAACUGCUUUCAUAAGCAUAGCAAAAGAGGCUUAAUCUCUCCUUCAAGAUAAUUUAUUUUUUAAAAAAACUUCUGUUGAAGAGGUUUAAGCUUCUCAUUUUUUGAUUCAACUUUUUUUCGGAAUUACUUAUUAGUGUUAAUCGAUUAUUAUUGGCUUUGUUUUGCUUAUUAUUGCGAAUUAGACCAGUUCAAAUAGUUUCAUUUGUUUAAAAGGAUUGGAUUGAGUGAUUGUUGUUCAACGCAUUGGGAGUAGAUCGAGAAGCAACACAGGUUUCUGAUCCGAUCAAUCUUUGGUAAAACAGAUGGUAAUUUAUCGAUGAUAUGUUUGGAUUUUUCAUUGCAUUGCGUUAUUUUCGUUAUUUCUGAUAUUUAUUCGCUUUGGAAUGUGUUGAUUUCAUUUUAUGUGACUUAAAAAAAUUGUUUCUGGUAAUUUUGAGGAGUUGUUGUUGUUGUUGACUGAUCUGGACUGGUGUUGAAGCUAACUAUUAUUCUGCUUGGAUAUGUUCAAUUUUUUUUGUUUGUUGAGAUCCACCUUUCAAGGUUUUAACUGUUUUGUUUGCCAUGUUAGUUGAAAAUAGUUGAAAUUAAGGUGUUUUGACAGUCAUAUUGCCGUUAUCUAGAACUUGAAGUUGUACAUUUCACUCUAAUAUGAAGUAAUGUGCCUUUGAGCAUUGUUUUGCGAUUUUGUGCUUAUAUUUGAUUAGUGGAGGUUUCAUGCUGGGUUGUGAUACUGUGAUUGGUCUGGUGAUUUAUCUAUUGUUGUAACUAUCUUUGGAGCAUGAAAACUAGGAUGUCUUUUUUUGCUCAUGUGAUAAUAGAGCUAUGAAAUUGAAAUUUCUGGUGCUUAGGCCUUCAUAGACUUUCCAGUUUAGAGAUUUAGUGUUACUUAAUGGACUCCAUAUCUCCAAUGAAGCCAGAAUGGCAACAUGCACUGGAUAAAUUUAUCCCUCAAAGAUAUUCCAAUUUGAUAAGAAUGAGGGUUUAAGAUGGGUCAUGUUACUGUAAAAAAUCCCUCAUCUAAGUUAUUGUUUUUUAAACAAAAAAUAAAGUAACCACCUCUGUGAUCCGAACCUAGUUUUUUUUUAUUUUGUUAUUAAAUCUGUAAUGAAGUUGGAACAGUGGUUGCCUACCAUCCUUAUUUUACUUUUGCAUGUUUACUUGUUCUCCGUGCUAUCCUAAUACCUAUUCAAAGUCAUUCCGAGACUGAAAAGCAAGAAGUUAUUAUCUACAUGGUUUUGCGUUAAUGCUUGAAUCUUGAGUGAAAAGUGUCUAUAAAAGAUUCAAAUGGAUUGGUGAAUCCUGGGCCCUCAUGGCUUUUGUAGGCUACCAUGACCAGUCUUGCAGUUGGAUCUCUCGUCUGGGUGGAGGAUCCUGACAUUGCCUGGAUAGAUGGCGAAGUUGUGCAGGUUAAUGGUGAAGAUAUUAAAGUUCUGUGCACUUCAGGGAAGACGGUGAGUUGCUUUAUAAAAUUUAAUUGGAUUAUUUUAUGUGAAUAAUAAUCUCAUUUUUCUUUUGGUGAAUGUUAAAUAUAUUCUGCUAAUUCUCUUGCUAUAAUCUUCCCUGCCCCUUUUACGUGUCAUGCAAGUCCAGUAUGGUACUAUUGGAAUUCAUUGGGAACAUAAAAAAUCUUGGAUGAGCUAGUUGCUUAAUUUGACUUGCUUAUUUCACAACUUUUGCAACAGGUUGUUGUUAAGGCUUCAAAUUUAUAUCCUAAAGAUGCCGAGGCCCCACCAUGUGGAGUUGAUGAUAUGACAAAGCUGGCUUACUUGCAUGAACCUGGAGUCCUUCAAAAUUUAAGAUCAAGAUAUGAUAUGAAUGAAAUAUAUGUAAGAUUUCAAACAGAUAUUCAUCUUAUUCUUUCAAUGUAUCGGCAUUAUUUCUGUCCUUUUCUAUAUACUUUUUUGCUGAAAUGGAUGUAUGUUUUACCUUCUUUGCGGUAACAUAUAUUGCAUCGAUGAAUGUUGGUGAGAUCUUUAUGUUUCAUCAUUUUUUCAAUAUAUACUGAUUCAAGGUGGCAAUUGCCCCAAUUGGUGCUUCCAGACAUAUACAGGAAAUAUAUUGAUUGCUGUGAACCCAUUCAGAAAACUACCUCAUCUUUAUGAUAGCCAUAUGAUGGCACAAUAUAAAGGGGCAGCCUUUGGUGAGUUGAGUCCACACCCCUUUGCUGUAGCUGAUGCUGCAUACAGGUACCUGUUACUCUGACCAGAAGUUCAUUUAAUAUGAUUACUUGUUUGACAAUGAAACGAUUUUCAUUAAUGCAGACUAAUGAUCAAUGAGGGAAUAAGUCAGUCGAUUUUGGUUAGUGGUGAAAGUGGGGCUGGUAAAACAGAAAGCACAAAAUUGCUAAUGCAGUAUCUUGCUUACAUGGGAGGGAGAGCAGCUGCUGAGGGGAGAACAGUUGAGCAGCAAGUUCUGGAGGUAAACAUGGCUAUGAAUUUAGAUUUGUGUGACAAUAAAUUUAAUGUUGAUAGUUUGAAUCCGUCAUCCGAGUAACCAUGUUUAACAACAUUUAUUUUUGUUUUCUGCUAAUCUGCAGUCCAACCCUGUUUUAGAAGCAUUUGGUAAUGCAAAGACUGUUAGGAAUAAUAACUCAAGGUGAGUGUAUUUUGUUUUAACAAGUUUUACACCCUGCAUGUAGUAAAUUCUAUGUUAUAAUCGUUUUUUUUUACCUUUACAUGCAUGUUUUGAAUGAUGUAGUCGUUUUGGUAAGUUUGUGGAGAUUCAAUUUGACCGGAGGGGAAGGAUUUCAGGAGCUGCCAUCAGGACUUAUUUAUUAGAAAGAUCACGUGUUUGUCAAGUGUCUGAUCCUGAGAGAAAUUAUCACUGUUUCUACAUGCUUUGUGCGGCACCACCAGAAGUAAGUAGUUUUUGAUUGCUUUAAUCAAGUUGCUUAUAAAUUAUUUGAUACAAUGUGUUCUUUUAUAGUCUUUCCCCCAUUAAGCAUUUUCCAUGUUUACUUUUAAUGAUUUCUAGAUUAUCUUAGUACCAAAAUGUUCUGUCUAGAAAAUGAUUUGGGUCGGGAAGUUCUAUUGUGAAAAUGAUCUUUCCCAUAUUUUUAGCUUGAGAUUUCAAUAUAUCUGAUAUGCUUAAUGCUUGAAGGUUGUAAUUUGGGUUGAACUAUGAUAAUUUUUAUUAUCUCUCAUUCUUAUCUAUUGCCCUUUUCUAUUUGAUUUUCCAUCUCCCUCUUAUCUUUGAUUUAUUUAUUGGUGUCAUUCUCUUAGCCAACAGAAGACCAACUUACAAGUUAAAGAGUUUCACUUUAACAUUCUCUUUGCCAAAUUUACUAUUGUUGAACUGGGGUCUUUUAGGAUGUACAUUGGAGGCCCUGAGAUAGCAUUAUUUGUGAUUGUGUGAUGGCUUCCAUGUGAUGUGAUUAUAGACAUGAGUCAUUUAUGGCUCCUACCUAGUUCACCUUCUUUUAAUUCCAAUCAUUAAUUUGGGUUCUAAAGCUGCAUUGGUGUAUACAAUCUAUUAUCCUCCAAGUUUAGUGUCUAGUGAUUUUGUAUAAGAUUUCCUAGCAUGCGAGUGGUCCCAAGAGACAUUCACAGCUUGUAAUAGUUGUGGUAUAGAACAUCAAAUAUGAGGCAGUUUCUUGUUUCUAGAAACUCAGUUUUUAGCCUUUUGUUUAACUUCUCUGUAAUGAAAGAGUAGGAAAAUUUUCUUGGCCUAUAUCAUCAGUUAUGGAUAGUAUGUAGUUUAUUGUUCACAUUUCUUUGAAAAAAUGAGAGCAAAUUUAUCACACAUGAGACUGUAAUGCUUCAGAAAAUCAAUUCUCUGAUAUUUGUCUUCCUCUGCUUCCUUUUUUUUCUCCAUUUUACUUUUCAGGAUAUUCAGCGGUACAAACUGGGAAAUCCAAGAACAUUUCACUAUCUGAACCAAUCUAAUUGCUACGAAUUGGAUGGAAUUGAUGAUUCUAAGGAAUAUACUGCGACAAGAAGGGCAAUGGAAGUCGUUGGAAUAAGUCCUGAGGAGCAGGUAUUUUAAUGAAAUAUGAACUUGCUAGACAAUUCUUAAUAUAAUGUUUUAUGAAAUUUCUGUGUCAUCUUUUUGGUUUUUGCAUUUGCCCCUCUUCAGGAUGCAAUAUUCUGCGUUGUGGCUGCAAUUCUCCAUCUUGGGAACAUUGAAUUUGCUAAAGGGAAAGAAAUAGACUCAUCUGUGCCCAAAGAGGAAAAAUCAUGGUUCCAUCUAAGAACUGCUGCUGAGCUUCUCAUGUAGGUGGACAAUCUGAGACUUGCACUAGCAUAUACUGAAACACGUACUUCUUUGAUAUUUGUUCACUUCAUAUGCUUUGUAAGAUAAGAAAGGGAUCAUUUUUAAUCCCCACUUUUGUUUAGGUGCGAUGGGAAGUUAUUAGAAGAUUCCCUAUGCAAGCGUAUAAUUGUAACUCGUGAUGAAACCAUUACAAAAUGGUUGGAUCCAGAAUCUGCUGCACUUAGUAGAGAUGCUUUGGCUAAAAUUGUGUACUCAAGAUUGUUUGACUGGUAUGGUUCAAUCUUGCUGUUUGAAUAUGAUAUGUCAGAGUUUACUGUGCUUAUUAUUUUGUUUUUUGUUCAGUUGUGGACAUUUUUUUGAGACAGUGGGUUUCUUUUUUUUAUUUUUCACAGGAUUGUGGAUAAAAUCAAUAGUUCAAUUGGUCAAGAUCCUGACUCGAAGUUCUUAAUUGGGGUGUUGGAUAUUUAUGGAUUUGAGAGUUUCAAGACAAACAGGUGCUUAACUGGUAUGCCUGUUAUUUUUAUGAUUGACUGAAGUUGGUUUUCUGAAACCAAUGGAUGUAAAUAGAAGUUGUGUCUUAAAGAGGCACGUUUUGAAUACCGUGGCAGUCAUGUAUUAAUUGAUACUAAAAGAAGCAAUGAUUAGAGGAAGCCUAUUCUUUCUCCAAAUUGCCUUUUUAAGGUGUGGUAGUGAUUUGGGAGUUCAGCAGUGAUAGUUCCAAUUGUGCUUCUCUAUGAUAGAUAAAGUUAGUUUCAAUUGUGCUUCUUUUUGAUAGAUAAAGUUAGUUCCAAUUGUGCUUCUCUUGGAUAAAUAAAUUUGGAGAUAUUGUGACCUUUUUGGAUGUUUGCUAUUUGCUUCUGUUCAUCUGAUGCUUGACACGCCACUUUGUUUUGCAGUUUUGAGCAAUUCUGCAUUAAUUUGACAAAUGAGAAACUGCAGCAGCAUUUCAACCAGGUUUGUGUCUGCAAACAUGCUUAUAUCAUUCUUAAGAUAUCUCAUUAUCUGUUUUGUAGUUUGUAAUGCUUAAACCUCUGGCUCCUCAGCAUGUCUUCAAAAUGGAGCAAGAAGAGUAUACAAAAGAAGAAAUUAAUUGGAGCUACAUUGAGUUUGUUGAUAAUCAGGAUGUUCUGGACCUCAUUGAAAAGGUCUGUUGGAUCUACCUCUGCAAUUUAUUUGGCUGGUUUCUUACAGACUGUUUUAGUAUUGUAUCAUCUGGAGUUGGUUUGUGUUGUUAACUGUAUAUCUUUAGUAAAAGAAAUUUAUGAUAGAGGCUACUAUUACUAUGCACUCUUGCUUCUAAAUAUUUGAUAUUGUUUCCUUUUUGUCCUGUGGUUCCAGUUUUAGUUGCAUCCAUUUGGCAUUCUCUGUUUUCAUGGAACACAUGUGGGAAGGCUGUGGUGAAUGGACAGUCUAUGUAAUGUUGUGGUUGCAAAUGAAAUUGCCUACUUUUGACAAGCCAAAGUGCCAAACUGUUCUCUCUAUUUUAUGUUAGAUGUUACGUGAACUAUGUAGUUAUUUUUCAUGCUAUAUAGAAGAUUAAGUGGUAGUGGCACAUUUAUGCUUUAUUCUCAUUGAAAUUUUUAAAACAUGCUAAAAACCUGAUUGAUGAGGAUUGUGUCAUAAAAUGCUCAGCUUGAAAACAAGAUAAGCAAUUUGGUGGAAGAAAGAUAGGAAAAGAGGAAUGUGAAGAGAGAAGAUGGAUUAAUUGUUAGGUCUUGAAAUAGUUAUAAAGCCACCAGCUAUUGUCUAGCAUAAUACAAAGCUGUUGAAUUAUAACCAGACCAAAUCAUAUUAGUUUCAUUUCAUAAUAACAAGUCCAAGAUGAGUUUCUUGUGCAAGCAGUGCCAGAAAGUACUGCCUGCUUCUAUCAAAUUGCUGUGGAAAUUAUAUAAGAGUGAUGGUUUAGUUGAUAAAUUCUAUGUAAUUAUUAAUUUGUUUGCUAUAUUAACUGAGUUCUAAAUCUUAUAUUAUUGUCAUUCAUGUUGGAUUGUUCUUACUGAUUUAUUAGUUAUUGUUGGACCUCCCUUUGGGAAUUUCUGGUGUGAACUACUUGAUUAGCAUUAUGCCUGUAAUUUUUCUUUCCAUGCAUUCCUGUGUGCUUGUAUUUUUGUCUUUUCCUUUAGACAAGGAAAUAUAUUCUUGAUUGUAAAAUUUUUUUAUUUUAUUUAUUGAACAUUGUUACCUAAUGUGGCCCUGUAUGGUGAUGGACUUUGAGUAAACAAAUAGACAAAUUAAAAGUGCUAAAUGCUCCGUGCAUUUUUAUUGUGGUCAUUGCAUUUAUUAUAUAUAUUUAAAAGUUUCCCUGUUUUUGAUUUCCAGAAACCAGGUGGAAUAAUUGCUCUUCUAGAUGAGGCUUGGUAAGAUGUAGUUAGCUUUUUACUUAUUUUUGACAUCUCAAAACUUGAUUUAGGUUUCUUCCAGUUACUCUACCAUAUAUUAAUAAUAAUAUCUGACCGUUAUUAAAUUUUAAAAGCAUGUUUCCAAGAUCAACACAUGAAACAUUAGCUCAGAAGCUGUACCAGAUGUUUAAAAACCAUAAGCGCUUCAGCAAACCCAAAUUGUCCCGUAGCGACUUUACAAUCUGCCAUUAUGCUGGUGAUGUGAGUUUGUUUUCUCUUUUUCGUAAGUAAAUGCUGGAGAACUAAACUAAGAAGUGAAUGAAUUUCUAUUUAUGUACUCAAACAGAAAAUAUAUGUUCUCUGCAGGUCACUUAUCAAACUCAAUUAUUCCUGGACAAGAACAAAGAUUAUGUUGUUGCUGAACAUCAGGCCCUUUUGACUGCUUCCAAAUGCUCCUUUGUUUCUGGUUUGUUUCCACCUUUAGCUCAGGAGUCCUCCAAAUCAUCAAAGUUCUCCUCAAUAGGUUCUCGAUUUAAGGUGUGCUGGUAUUUCUAUUUCUUAAAUGCUGAUUGUUACCUUUUCUUUCCAGUCUAAUGAGUUAGAAAGUGGUGCUCUUUUUGGUAUUAUACAGCAACAAUUACAAGCAUUACUUGAAACCCUGAGUUCCACAGAGCCACAUUACAUACGUUGUGUAAAGCCCAAUAAUCUUCUUAAGCCUUCAAUAUUUGAGAAUAAAAAUGUUCUACAACAACUACAGUGUGGGGUAAGAAUGAUGACGUUCUAUGAGGUUUAGCCGAAAUAUGAUUUUUUUUUUUAAUUAGUUCUGCUUGCUUAUUUUAUCCACGUUUAUUUCAUUUCAGGGAGUUAUGGAGGCAAUUAGGAUUAGUUGUGCUGGAUACCCUACUAAAAAACCAUUUGUUGAAUUUGUAGACCGAUUUGGCCUCCUUGCACCUGAAGUUUUGGAUGGAAGGUACAGUUAAUAAUUUUCUUGGCUCUCUAAAGGUUUCUUCAAAACGUUACUCUGACCUGUUUACUAUACAUGUUAGUUCUGAUGAGGUUAAUGCUUGCAAGAAACUUCUAGAGAAGGUGAAACUUCAAGGCUAUCAGGUAAAUGUCUGACGGUUAUUCAAACAAUCUUCUCUUAGUCAAUUUAGUUUCCUUGCCAAUACUAGAUUUCCUCUCGAAUCAUUAGGAUACAUCUUAUGCAAGAAACCAUGUCAUCAAGAUGUCAAUAAAAUUUAUCAUAGACAUUCAAUUGGCAAAUAUUUAUGUUUGGCCUUUGGUUUAUGCCAACUGGCAAUAAUAACCUGAGGAGAUCCCACCCUACUCUUCUGUUUAUAGGGUGAAGACCAUUAACAUGUUACCGGAAGUGCCCAAAUUUGGAUUAGGUUAGGAAACAACCCUAGAAACUAGGCCCCAAGACGAGAAAUUACCGGAAGCCGGCAACUGCAAGCAAAGAGCAAAGCACUUGUCAUGUACAGAAUCUAAGAAGUUGGAUUCAUGCUACAAACUUGAUGUCAUAAGUGGUCUAUAUUGGCUAAUGUUAUUAGCUUUACUUUUCUUGCUUGUGGUUGCGAGCAACAUGUAGCAUAAGUGCAAAUGGAAAUGGUACCUGCUGCUUCCAAAUGGGAGUUCAUUCCUUUUGUCAAAUUGUAUAUUCUUCUGCUGUUUUAUGAUUGUUCACUCAAAUGUUCUACAAAUCUGACUUCUAGUUGAAUUCUGGGAAAUAUCAUACUGAUGCCAGUUUAUCUUUGGCAGAUUGGUAAGACAAAGGUUUUUCUCAGGGCUGGUCAGAUGGCUGAACUAGAUACCCGUAGGAGUGAGGUCUUAGGAAGAUCUGCUAGUGUUAUCCAGAGGAAAAUCCGUUCUUAUUUAGCUCGCAGAAGUUUUAUCAUGCUUCGUCGGUCUGCACUACGGAUUCAAUCUGUUUGCAGAGGUACAUUUAUACCUUUCUGUGUGUGUCUGGUGUAAUUUAACUAACCUUUACUCUCUACUAAGGCUUUUGGUAUUAUGUACACAUGUUGAUAGUGAUACUUUUUGUCUGUGAUGAUUUCAGGACAACUUGCUCGCAAUGUUUACAGUGGCAUGAGAAGAGAAGCUGCAAGUUUGAGGAUCCAGAGACAUUUGCGUAUGCAUCUUGCUAGGAAAGCUUAUAAAGAAUUGUGUUCCUCUGCUGUUUCCAUUCAGAUGGUCAUGAGGGGGAUGGCUGCUCGCAAUGAGCUAUGCAUCAGAAGGCAGACCAGAGCAUCAAUUAUAGUUCAGGUUGGUCAAGGUUUUUAAAUUGUUCUUAUAACAUACUGCACAUGCGAUAAUUUUUUUAGAAAAGAUGUCAUAAUCUUCAAUUUUUCUUUGAGAGGCUGAACCUCCUUUUGUUUUAUAUUAGUUACUUUCUUUAACUUGGAAUCACUUCUAUUGUACUUACCAGAGCCAAUGCCGCAAGUUCUUGGCCCAGUUGCAAUAUAUGAAGUUGAAGAAAGCAGCAAUUGCAACACAAUGCGCAUGGAGAGGAAGAGUUGCUCGAAAGGAACUGCGGAAGCUUAAGAUGGUAUUCCCAUCUUUAUCAUAUUUUGCAUUUCUGGCAAAACUUUGUCAUAAAUUUCAUUAGGAAAUCUCGAUUGUCUUCUGCUUCUAGAUCUUUGAAAAUGAUUUGUGGUUGGAAUGGUUGCUUUAUGUGGUCCUCUUCUUUGCUUAAAUUUGAUAUCAAAACAGUAAAAAGUUGUGUCCUUGCUAAGUAAUUUAGGAGUUCUUCAAAUUUGAGUUUGACUGCUGAAGUCAUCUCAAGCCUAUCUCUGGAAAAAUCUUUCUUAUCAACAAUCAAUGAAAUGCAAUCCUAUCUAUUAAAAUAACAAUAUGUAAUCCUAUCAGCUUACAUAAUGGGGGGAAAUAAAGAAACCCUACACCUUUUUCUUCUCUAUCUGCUAAUUUUGUUCUCUGAAACAAUUUAGUAUAUCUAAACCCUGUGUAUGCUGAUAUCUUGUUUCAUGAAUGUAUCACUCAGAUUUUCCGCUAUUCUUUUAUUUGCAGGCUGCUAGGGAAACUGGAGCCCUGCAAGCUGCCAAGAACAAACUGGAAAAGCAAGUUGAGGAACUGACAUGGAGAUUACAGCUGGAGAAACGUAUGAGGGUAAGCAUGAUAAUAAAUUGACUGAAGCUAGUUGGGUAAGCAUGCUAAUAAAUUGACUGGAGAAACGUAUGAACUGAGGCAUUUUAUGUGCUUGGCAUGUGUCAAUCUAUUUUUUUUAUUCAAUGUGCCAUGUUAGUUUGAGAAAGGAUGUUAAAAUUGUGUAUUCAUUGUCUCUUCCUCUAAAUCAGUUUUAAUAAUAUAAUGGUCUUACAGGUAGGGCACUGCAUCUAUAAUUUUCUUCUCUCCUAAUUAUGCAUUCUUUUCUUACCCUGUAGGUUGACAUGGAAGAGGCUAAAACAAAAGAAAACGCAAAAUUACAGUCUGCUUUGCAAGACAUGCAACUUCAGUUUAAAGAAACCAAAGAAUUGCUUGCCAAGGAACGCGAGGCUGCCAGAAGGGCAGCUGAGGUGGUCCCUGUAAUUCAGGAGGUUCCAGUGGUGGACAAUGUGAUGCUGGAGAAGCUUACAAGUGAGAAUGAAAAACUGAAGGUGGGGAAGCUGAAUCUAGUAUCUAUGUUUUGCAUAAAGAUAUGGUGAACAUAUGAUAAUUUAGGAUAACCUGGAGUUUUUUCCUAAGCUUGGUAGAAUACUAGUUUCAUAGUACUUAUCUUGUGCGCUGAUUAUCCACAGGCAAUGGUGAGUUCAUUGGAAAAGAAAAUUGGUGAAACGGAGGAAAAGUUUGAAGAGACAAACAAGAUCAGUGAAGAAAGGUUGAAACAAGCUUUGGAGGCAGAAUCAAAAAUAGUUCAGUUGAAGACUGUUAUGCACAGGUUAGCUUGUGCCAUUACUGGGCAAAGAUUUUGAGAUAGAUUCGUACUAUUAAUUUUCAGAAUCUUAGAUGGACCUUUGCGUGCAUAUUUGUGAAGCUGUAGUUAUUCUUGGUUUUCACUUUCCUUUUUCUCUUCUCCUGGUCCUCAUUGUAUCUUUUGUUUGCAGGCUUGAAGAAAAAAUUUUCGACAUGGAAUCUGAAAACCAAGUUCUGAGGCAGCAAACUCUGUUAAGUACACCUGUUAAGAAGAUUUCAGAGCAUCUACAGAUUCCAGUCACUCCGGUAAAAUAUAACUUAGAUAUAUUUUUUUUUCUAAAAUCUUCCUGCCUCUUUUGUCAUCAUGUUGAUAUUUCCUAUUAUCCUUUUUCUUUGUAAAUUUGCAGAAUCUGGAAAAUGGUCACCAUAUAGAUGAAGCAAACAAAUCAAAUGUAUGUUACAUAAUUGUUAACAUAUGAUCAUACUUCUGUUUUUUCUAUGGUAUGGCCAUUGAUGACCUGUUUGUGCAGGAACCACAGAGUGUGACUCCAGUGAAGAAGGUCGGCAUAGAAUCUAAUGGCAAGUUGCAAAAAUCCAAUCUUGAACGCCAACAUGUAUGUGUUUGCUAUAAUUGGCUUAUGCAUUUUCAAGCCUCAUAAUUUUGUGCAGUGUGUCAGAUAUUGUUUUGUAUCAUUCUUUCAAACAGGAGAACAUCGAUGCACUGAUCAAUUGCGUUACAAAGGACAUUGGGUUCAGUCAUGGAAAGCCUGUUGCUGCGCUUACCAUUUAUAAAUGUCUUCUUCACUGGAAAUCUUUUGAAGCAGAAAGGACCAAUGUGUUUGACCGUCUCAUUCAGAUGAUUGGCACUGCAAUUGAGGUAAAAAAAAUUAUAAUUCAUGGUCAUUGUUUGUGGAGUAUCUCCUUCAUUUUCCUUUAUUAUUCUUCCUCUUGCAUGACUUCUAUUUUCUGCGGAUUUUGAUUGUAUUUAUUUUUAUAUUAUUUAAUUCCUAAAUGCAGUCCUUAUAAGGCGAGUUACUGUUCUUGCUUGUGAUUGGUUUGAGACAUGACUGUUGAAGAUUUUUUUUUACUUGCAUAAUUUGCUGCCCUUUUCUUAGGUUGUCCUGCUUGUGUAAUUGUAAAAUACUUUCUUUAGAAGCCCACACUUUCUUCUGUUUCUUUAAGCUAUAGUAAAAUAAGUACGAGGGUUCAUUAACAAGUGAUGAAAGCUUCUUUGGUUGUAGAAUGAAGAAGACAAUGGUCAUAUGGCUUAUUGGUUGUCCAACGCAUCAGCAUUAUUGUUCUUGCUCCAAAAGACUCUAAAGGUUUCUGGUGCAAAUGGUGCAACUCCAAGUCGGAAACCACCCACUCCAACCUCUCUGUUUGGAAGGAUGACAAUGGUAUCUGAAAUUCUUUCUUUCCCUUCUAAAAUUUUCAAUUUUAAGCAAGAAUAAGACUAAUUUUACAGUCUUUUUUCUCUUAAUUCAGAGUUUUCGCUCUUCCCCUUCAUCCAACAACCUUGCUGCAGCUGCUGCACUUGCAGUAGUUCGCAAGGUAGAGGGAAAAUACCCUGCGUUGCUUUUCAAGCAGCAGCUUGCAGCAUAUGUGGAAAAGAUCUAUGGAAUUAUUAGAGACAACUUGAAGAAAGAGAUAUCAUCUUUGCUUUCUCUAUGCAUCCAGGUAGCUUGUGAUUCAUUUAGUUUCUGGUCAAGAGUUUGAAGCUGCACGUCAACUGUUUGGUAGGCAGCUAUAAUUAUGUUUAACUUGAUUCCUUCGUGUUUCUUUUUCCCAACUGGUCAUGAUUAAUUUUAGGCACCUAGAACAUCUAAGGGAAAUGUACUAAGAUCUGGACGGUCCUUUGGCAAAGAUUCUCCUUCAACUCAUUGGCAGGGCAUUAUUGAUAGCCUCAACACCCUCCUCAGUACUUUGAAAGAAAAUUUUGUAAGGAGCCUUUUUUUUUUUUUUUUUUCCUCUCACUGUUCUUCAUAAAGUCAUUGCAUCUUGAUAUCCAGUUAUAUAUAGAGAGAGAUGUUUACGGUUGCUUGGUUUUCAGGUGCCACAAGUUCUUAUCCAGAAGAUAUUUACUCAAACAUUUUCGUACAUAAAUGUACAAUUGUUUAAUAGGUAAUCUUUUGUGGCUUUUAGAUAGUUCCUUUGUGGUUUUAAUUCAAAAGGUUUCGUUUUGUACUUAUUAGAAUUUGUUAUAAUUUUCCAGCCUUCUUUUACGCCGUGAGUGUUGUACGUUUAGCAACGGAGAAUAUGUUAAAGCUGGGUUAGCAGAGUUAGAGCUCUGGAGUUGCCAAGUGAAAGAAGAGGUAAGGUUUUUAUUUUUUUAUUUUUCUUCUCAUCCGUGUUUGUACACGUAGUUGUUGCUACAUAUUUGCUGGACUAUUUACUUCCUUUUAUUGGCUUAAUUAAGGCCCAUAUUGUGCUGAUUCUAUACCUCACUUGCCUUGAGCUGCAGUAUGCAGGAUCGUCCUGGGAUGAACUUAAGCACAUUAGACAGGCUGUUGGUUUCUUGGUAUGUCAGGCACUCUUUGACAAUAUAGAUAAUGUGAUGGGUUGUUCGUGUAUGUUUGUUUCUGAAGUCCUAUCAGCUUGCAGUCGUUCGAACUCAAUUUUGUUAAUAUGUUUGACACUGCAUAUAGUUUGAGUUAAACAUUAUCAUAUUUAUUAUUAAUAGUUCUCAAAUGCCCCAUUCCGCAAAACCAAUAUGAGUUUGAAUUUAAUAAUUUUAGAUAGGAAAGUGAAAGCUUUAACUUUUGACUUCCCAAAUCAUGACAAUUCAGGAGAGCAGAUGUGGGAGGUGUGGGAAUCUAGAAGGACUGGAUUUACCAUUGCUUCGUUAUUUCCUUUUGAGUGUUGUUAAUUAGAAAUGUCGUUUUAUCCAGAAAAUUAUUUUUACUACUUGAAGAAAGACAUUAGUUUCCAGCUUAUCUCUCUAGAUAUUUAAUAGCAGUAAAUAUAAAGUUCUGCUUCUAACUUGAAUCGUAUUAAAUCCUAUACAGGUUAUACAUCAGAAGUACAGAAUUUCAUAUGAUGACAUUACAAAUGAUCUCUGCCCUGUAAGGCCUUUUUUUUCUCUCUCUCUCUUUUCCCUCCCCAUUUUUCCAAGGUUGUUUGAACGGCCAGUUGGACCGGAAAUUGGCGGGGUGCUGGUUCGGAGAAGGGCCUUGAACUGGUUGACCUGGGAACUGGUACAGACCUGUUGAACUGGGCGGUUGAACCGGAUUUUUAAUAUUUUUUCUAUCUUUUAUGAUUUUUUAAUGAUUUAUUUUGUUGAACUGGUUGGAUCAGCUAACUAGUGCCUUGACUGGUUCGACCACCAGUCCAUUUCUGAAAACAUUGCAUUUUUCUCAUUCUCUUUGACAUUUACUUUUUGUUUCUUCAGAUUCUUAGUGUACAGCAAUUGUACAGAAUAUGUACCCUGUAUUGGGACGACAACUAUAAUACUCGAAGUGUUUCUCCAGAUGUAAGUUUCAAAUACCAAUCUUUCUUCUUGAUUGCUUACAAAGUUCGUAAAGCUGAUAUGAUUAAUAGGCAAACCCGCACUUCGUUACCAGGUUAUUUCCAGCAUGAGGGUAUUAAUGACAGAGGAUUCCAAUGAUGCCGUUAGUAGUUCCUUUUUAUUGGACGACAAUUCCAGGUAAAAAUCCCUUCAUAUUGCCUACAUACGAUGCCCGGUUCUACGUAAAUGUGAAUUCGCAAAGAAUUCAACAUUUCUUUCGUAGCUCGUAUUACGUAACACACAAAACAACUUUGUAGCCAUAUCUAGCAUUCGGAAUCUACAUUGUAGAAACAAAGUAAUGAACUAAUCAGUCCUUCUUAAUACAGCAUUCCCUUCUCAGUUGACGAUCUUUCCAAAUCGCUCCAAGAGAAAGAAUUCUCGGAAGUCAAACCAGCAGACGAACUUCUUCAGAACCCAGCCUUCGAAUUUUUACUCGAGUAAGGCUAAGGAAGCUUUGAAUCGAUCCAUCCCCUAUUUCUUGUGGCAAUGGAGACUUAAAAACCCUAUUGCCAACUAAAAUGAUUGGUGUAAAUUCAUUUUUCAUUUCAUCUAUCACCCUUGAUAUAUAAUUUUUUUCCCAUUACAUCCAUUAAAUUUUCUAUUACUUUUUUUUCUUUGGCAUUUUCAACGAUUUUGGUUUGAUUUUUUUUCUUUUUAAAUUUUAUUUUAUAUUGGUUAUUCUUUUGCCAUAUGGGGCCUGGGUUUUUAUUGUAUAAAGCAACCCCAUAUUAUGGAAACGUACAUGCAUAUAUAAAUAUAUAUUUUAUAUAGUUGAAAAUAUUUAUUACCAUGCUUGAUUUUUAUUUCUAUUUCAGCCUUUCACCUCCAUCUUUAUUUUCAUUGAAAAUUCAAAGUUCUUAUGAUUUAUUGUGGGUUGCUAUGUAUUUGCAUGCUUGUUUGCUGCAAAGAAGAGUUGUGAUGGAAAUAUGAGAAAUAAAAUAUUAAUAAAUUUGGCUGAGUUGAUGCCACUAUUUAAUUUGAUGUGAAAAUUUACUCAAACUAGCCUUUAUGUUCCCAUUUACGCAUAGGAAUUUAUAAUCUUUUCCAUAAUUUAUUUGGUAUUAAUAUUCUUAAUUUUUUAAAUUAUGAAAAUUAAAUUUAAGAUAAUAAUUUACGGUUACUUUAAUUUGUUAAGAUGAUUUCUGAGGCAUGUUUGAGACAGUCAUUUUUAGUGCAUGAUUUAAGCAAAAUUGUUUAAAAAAUAAUAAUUGUUAAGAUGAUUUAUGAAGGCAUGUUUGAUACAAGUAGCUCUUUGAUACAUUUAUUUAGAUCUCUAUCUAUUUUGGUCAAAUUUGUUAGAAGAGAUCGCACACAUGUCUAUUUACUCUUGAUUAUGAUUUUAUCUAAUAUAAUUGCUUAAUCUUGUCCUUUUCUACCAAAAAAAUAAUUAUUAUUUUAAUAUUUUUUUUAUAAAUUAAAUAUAAUUUAAGAGAUCAAUUAACAAUGUUGUCAAUUAAAUUAAAUAAUUUAUUAAAUAAAAGGAAGUGUCCAUUAUUUAACUUAGAAGCAAGUAAAAGGAUUAAAUUUCAAAAUUUUGAAAAGUAUAAGGGAUUGAUAGAUAAUUAUACCUUUUUUCUCUCCUCCUAAAACCCAAAACUAAGAAAAAAGAAAGAAAGCCACUAAGUGUAUAGAUUAAAUAUAAUUUAAUAGAUAUCAAUUAAGAAAUGUUGUCAAUUAAACUUUCUUUAUUAAAUAAAAGAAGUAGAUGGACUACAUUCUUGAAAUUAGAAGCAAGUAAAAAGAAAAAAAUUUUAAAAGUAAAAGUAAAGAGACUAAAUUUUAAAAGUAUGAAAAGUAUAAAGGAUUGAUAGAUAAUUAUACCUUUUUUUCCCUCUUUCUUUCCCUUCCAGCUCUAACCCACACUUCUUCAUUACUCUAUGUUUCUUCUUUUUAUAUAAAGUUAUAGAUUUAUUUUUUAUAUAAAAUAAUAAAUAUUGACUUAAUCAUUUCUUGAUUUAUUUUUAUAUCAAUUUUUUAUAAAUAUAUUUAAUAUAUAAAUAGUUUUUACUUAUAUUAUGGGUAGAUGAUGUAUUGGGUAUGAAUAUAUUUAAUUUUUAUUAAACUUUAUCGCACUCAAUGAGAGAAAAAUAGAAGUGAUAACAAAUUUGUAUUUUAAUAUCAUUAUAUACUUGUUUUUAUCUUUGGAUUUGUAGUUUUAUUUUUUUAAAUGAUAUAAAAGUAUGAAAAUAUGAAAAUGUUAUUACAAAUAUUAAUUUUAAUUUUAAAAAAAGUUUUUAUAUUUUCAUAAUUGAGUUAACGAUACGAUUAAAGAUGACACUAAUUUAAUAAAAUAUUUAAAUAUAAAUAUUAGAGUAUUAAAUUUUAUUUAUAUAUUUGAAAAAAAAUAUUUAUAUUUUUGUAUUCAUAUUUGAGUGUUAAACAUAAAUAUCAAAAAAUCAAAAUAACAUAAUUGAGUACAUGUAAUCCUAAAAUCCCAAAUUUCAUGAUAUGAAUAAAUGAAAUUGAAUGCUAAGCAAGAGGAAUGGGAUUGAUAAUAUAUAUAUAUAUAGGUAAGGAACAUUUGCUUAAGUAACACAUAAUUUAGGAUGAGUCAUAUAUAACAAAUUAUUCUAUGAAAUUCCUAUGAGAGCAACAUGUUAAUUAUUAAAUUGAAUAACUUCAACAUGAUAGUAUAAUUCAAUAAGCCAAAAAAUUUACAUAAGAAUUUUUUUGUCAAUAAAUAAAAAUCCAGUCGAUUGAGUUUUAACUUGGUUGGUAUUGAUAUUGUUGCCAGUGGAGGAGGAUGUAAAUUAAAAUGCAUUGAAGUGCGUUUAUCCUCUUAUUUAAAGGUUGGGGAGAGAUUAUGGAUAAUUCUAGUAAAAACCUAUAAUUGAUGAAUGUGAUUAAGAUAAUUUUUCAGGUAAACUACACAAAUAGUUGUCCAAUUAUCAAAAAAUUUCAUUUUAGGCACUCAAAAUAGAAAGUUUGUAAUUUAAUCACCCAUGUUACGUAGUAUGGUCUUUUCUCCUGUUAAAAUCACAAACAGAAGGCUGACGUGGCAAUUAAAAAUUUUGGUAUGAUAACAAUUCAAAUUUUAAAAAAUUAACCCUCAAAAUUUACAAAUAGUCUCAAUAUAUCCUAAUUCUAAAAAAAGAAAUGUAUAAAAAUACAUAAAUAUUUUCAAAGAAAUAUAAUAAUAAAUUUAAAAUUUAUAUUAAUAUUAAAUAAAUAUAAUUAUAUUAAUAAUAAUUAAAAAAUUAAUUUGAAUAAACUGAAAAUUUUUAAUAGUUGAAUGAUAAUCUGAGUAGUUUAUCCUAAUUUUUCUUUACCCUUAAAAUAAGAUUUCGUCACAUUCCGAUAUUUUAGAAUAAGGUUGUUGGAUCAUAUGGCCAAAAUAAAUUCAAGUGAUGUGGGUGAUGUAUAACUGUUUUGGGAGCCUCUAGAUGCCGUUAGAAAUAUAUUGUUACUUGAGCAUAGUACUCUUUUCUACGUUAAUAGUUUUUUUAAGUUUGUAACCGUUUUGUGUUGAUCUUUUCUAUAAUAAAAAAAGUAAUACACACAUUAUCACAUCUAACAAAUCAUUUUGUAAAAGUCUUAGAAGAGCAACGGAUGGAUCAUUAAAUUGAGUAAUCUUAACAUCAACAUUAUGAUAUGAAGAAGCUAAAAUUUUGCAAAAAAAAACUCACGAUUCAACCUUUCUUCGCGUGAGGGGUUUGAAUUAAACUAUAUAUUUUUAUAAUAGUAAAAAUACAAUUUUAUCAUUUUAAUAGUUUAUAUAUUUAUAAUUUUUAGAGGAUUAAAUAAAAUAUUUAUUAUUUUUAAGAAGAUUAAAAUGUAAUUUUAUUAUUAAUUUAAAAUUUUAUAAGUUAUAAAAUAUCUAAAUAAAAAAUUUUCUAUUGCUAAUCUCAUCUAAAUUUGGCCCUGACUAUAUAUUCCGAGAUAGAGAGGGAAUCUUUUGGACUUUAAGCAAUGAAUUUUGUAAUCCCAUGCUAUGUUAUUCAAUUGUCUUCCUAGAAAACAUUGAAUAAAAACACCUUAUAUCCUAUACACCCAAAAUGUUUUGAAAAAUUACAUUGCUAGCCCACACAAAUUACGUAAUUCCCAAAUAUACCAACUUACAGAACCAAGGGAUGUCACAUUCAAGAGCGCCAGAUAUUCAUCCACAUAGUUUUUUACUCGGGACAAUUCUGUAAUAGAUGUAAUCAAUGUUUUUGGGAUUCAAUUGGUAAUUGAUUGAUUUUUAGUUCAACUAUUUAUUUUGUUCAAAUUAAAUAGUUUUUUUAAAAGUUUAAAUAAAUUUUAAAAUAAAUAUAAAAAAUUAUGAAACUCGAUUUAAUUGAUUUUUAAUUCAAUUCAAUUAAUUUUUAUUGAUUCGCAGAUCGAUGAUUUUCUUUUUUUACCUUGCUUUGGAUAGGUAUAUUGGCCAAUUCCCUAUCAAAUUGAUCUGAUUGACCAAUCUAAACCAUUUGGCUUAAACAACUUUGGAUGCAACAAAAUCUGAUUUAAAUGAAGGGUUAAAAAUUAUUUUUUUGGCUUAGACUUAGCAACUACUCUCAAUUAGAAUUUAAACUUUUUUUUAUCUAAGUUAGUUCUUGUUUUUUUUUUGAAAGCUUUAAAGUUCAAGUCCAAAUAUUAAAAUAAUUACCAAAUUCAAAUUCUAAUAUAAGAAAAUUUGCCUAGUUUAUAAUUUGAAAAAAAAAUAUUUAAGCCCCAAUGUCAAGGACUAUAAACCCAAAAUAGAAGUUAACCCUUAAAUAAUUAUCAAAUAAAAAAAAAAGAUUAUAGAUGAAAAAGCGACAACUAUAUAUGAAAUGAAAAAGCAAUGAUUAGGGGGAGUUGGCAGUCCAUGUGAAAUCCUCAUGGAAUAGCUUCUGCCUUGGAGGUAAGGUAUAAACCUAUCGAGGCAUUUUAGGCUAUAGGCCAUGGACCGCAACCGGACCACCCUCUAUGAUAUCGAGUGCAAAAAAAAUUCCCUCAAUCUAAGCUGCCAAUGGUUAGAGAUUUCCAGUUUCUUGUAUACAUUAUUACAAACAGAAUCAGAAUGUGGAUAAUGAAGAAAGGGUUGGGUUUUGAAUUUGGUCAAAUUGGUCCCCCAUUCACAUUUUCAUCAUCGCCAUUGUUUCUUUCUAUGUGUUUUUUUGUUGUAACCCAUUUAUUAAACUCAUCUCUCUAGAGUUUAGCGUUGGCCCAUUGGCUUUUAUAGGGUCUUGUCUCUCACUUUCAUUAGAAGUCGCACAGGUCUAUUAGAUUAAAAAUUAAUGAGAGAAUCGAUUCGAAAAAAGGUAUUAAACGAAUUAGUCUAAGUUAAAAAUCAGUUGAAUCGAUUGAAUCAGUCAGGCUGACAGACCGAUAGUUUAAUCAAUUUAGCUACAAAUCCAACUCUAAAAUUUUUGGGUGAAACCGGUGCUCAAUAUUAUAGGACAUUCUCUAUUCAUUAUAUACUUCUUAUUUGGUAUAUAUCACGUGGAGAGUGCAUUAUUGUAAAAAUGUAAGUUCAAAUUCAUAAAGAAAAAUUUGAUAUUAACAAAAUCUCAAAAGAUUUAUGGAUACUAAAAGAAAGUAAUUUAAAUUUAUUUCUCUCGAUAAAUUUAAUUAAACGAAUCAUUUAAAAAAAAAUGUUAUCCACAUUUAUCAUGUAACCAUUUAUAGGUACUAAAAAGUUUAAAUUAAAGAUUUUGAAAGAGUCGGAAAAUUGAAAAAUCAAUUUAAUUAAACAAAUCAAAUAAAUAAAUAAAUUCGCAGUCAAUCAAGUCAAAAUAGUUACUUUCAUAUCUAGCUGCCCUAUUUGUCUUGGAAAAUUGAGUUAUGGAUAGUGCUGACUGAUGAUAAAGAUUUUUGGACCACAGUUUCACCUACAACUUUCUAAAUUGGCACAAUCAAACUAUUUUCAAAAUUGGAUGGCUACUAAUUGAAUCAUUUCCAAAAUUUUUGAAAGUUCAUUAAAAAAUUUAAAAAUAUUUUAAUGAGUUUAAUUGAAAAUUUUAAAAAUUUUGAGAGAAAUAGUGUGAUUUUUAAAUUUUUAGAGGAUUUAAUUAAAAUUUUCAAAACUUUUUAGAUAGCUCAAUUAAAAUUUUCAAAAGAUUUGAGAACCUAAUUGAAAAUUUUGGAAGUGUUGAUGACAAAUUUUUUCAUAUUUUUGGAGGGUCCUCUUAUUAUGUUUUUGUCAUUGAACGCUUGUAUUCUCUACUUUAAGAAUGGGGUUAUUUGUUGUUUACAAUUUCAAAAUUUUUUAUUAUUUAAAUUAUCAUUUUUAUCUUAUUUUAAUCUUAAAAAUAUUGACAUUUAAUAAGAAUGUACCACGUAUCAUAUUAUUAUUGAUUUUUUAUUUUUGAGAUAAAUUAAAAUAAAAAUAAUAAUUUAAGUACUCAUAACUUAAGUUUAAAAUAAUUAACUUUAAAUUGCUUAAUAUUUUCAUGGGUAAUUUUUAUUUAUAAAUUAAAAUAAUAAUAAUAAAAUUUUGUUCGUAACUCUAUUUAAAAAUUUUACAAUGUUAUGAAUGGAUGAUUCAAACUCAAAUAAAUUAAUGGUUAAAAAUUCAGUGUUGACAUCUCAAUAAUUGGGGUUUGAGUUCGGGUGCUAACGUCCUCUCUUUUUAAAUCGAUUAAUGUAAGUUUUGAAUUAAAUUUGUUCAACGGUAUGAGUUAUUUGUCCAAUUUCAAAAAUUUAUCGAAAAAUAAUAUUGAGCUCAAAAAUUGAAAUUCGGUAAAAAAUAUUAGACCUAUUUAAAAUAUGAACUAGAUUCGGACUCUAAUAUUUAAACCCGAUCUUGGCUCAAACCAUUCCAUUUUCAAGUUUAUAUAUUAUGUAGCUUAUUCCAUAUGAAAAUUAAAUAUAUUAAAAAUAUAGAAAAAUAUAUUACUAUAAUGUAAAUAUUAAAAAAAAUUUACUAAGUUACUUAUGUUUAAAAAUUCAAUAAAAAAAUAUAACGAUAGUAAAAAUUAUAUUUAAUAAAUAAUAAUUGAAAUAAUCAUAUUUAUAAGAAUAAAAAUAAUAUAGAUUGAACUAAACGGGUCAAAUUUUAAUAACUACAUAUAAUUUACCAUACUAAGCAUAAACUCGAUUGAUAAACACUUUUACUUUGAAUUUUUAUAUAUGGAGAAAGGGGGGAGAUUUUUUUUUUUUUUGACUUAUAAGAGGAAGAUAAAGUUCUAACAAGAACGUGACUAGUGCGACUCAAACGCAAACCACACUUGAGGCAAUGAACACCCUGACUAUCAGACCAACACAUGAGAUUGAGAGGAAGAAACUUUGAUUGUACCAUUUUUUUCUUUAAACUAAACUUCCCAUCAUCCUAAUUUCCCUUAAUAAAGAACAAUUUAAUUAAUUAAUAGUUGGUCAAUAACAGAAUAAUUGACUAUAUUUAACAUCACAUGAAAGUUUGGUGCAAAACAAUGUGAAAAUAUUUAGGGGAAAAAAUCUCAAUUUUUGAUUAAUUUCAAUUCCAUCAAUCUCAAGCAAAUCUCUUAAUUAAUAUUCCAUCCUUGUAAUUUCAGAGGUCUUUUCUACCAUUCCAUGUGGUAUCAUGUGUUUUCAUAUUAACAUAUAAACAUUAUUAAAAUUUCCAAAUCAAUCCAAAAUUUUAUCCUACAAUUAAAUCUUUUUAUGUGUCGAAUUAUAUUGCAACUCGAUUAAAAAAAUUUUAAACUCGAUUUGAUGGCCUAUUUCACUAUUAAUAUAUUAAUAAAUUAUUGAAACAAUAUAAUUUAUAUUAUUUUUAUAUGUUUUAAAAUUAAUUUUAGAUUUAAAUUUUUAUUAUUUAAAUUAAAUUCAGGUCGAACCAUACAAAAUUAAUGUGAAAAGCAUUUGCUCAAACUUGGGCCAAGUGAACUAUUUGACCCAUAAAGAGGUCUAUACACAAUAACUAUAAUUGCAUUCAAUAAUCAAUAUGUAACAAUAAUAAUCGUAUAAAAACUUAUACAAAUAUAUUAAAUUGAAUUUUACAUUGAUAUAUAAAUAUAUUUUUGUUGCAUUUUAUUACUAUUAUUAUAAUUUUUAACAGAGUUGGUGUCACGAAACUUGCUUGAGAAAUUACAAAAUAAUUCAAUUUUUAAAACAAAUAAUCUAUUUAUAGGUUUUGAUAAUAUUUAGUCUUUUUUUAUGUCUAAAACUACCCAUAACCUUUCCUCAACUCAUAAAUAGGAAGAUAAUAUGUUUCAGCGCACUCGAACUUACAUUCUCCUGUAUUAUACUAAUCAAAUUAAGACUUAAUCGAGUUUAAUAUGUUUAUAUUAUUUUUAUUACUUUCAAACUUAGUUUCAUGAUGGAUGAAUGUUUAAUGCAUUAAUUGAAGUUGUUAUUUCCCCUACAAACUCCUGAUUAUGUUGUGCUAUGACUUGAUUCCCCUAAGUUAUUAGAUUUUUUUAUUUUUUUAUAUAUUUGUUACAAUUAUUAUAUUUUUAAUUUAUUUUUUAGACAAUAUUUUAUGAAUUGUUUGAGAAAACGAGUACAAGAAUCAACAAGAUUGUUUGCUAAUUAGAGUCAAACUGAAGUUUGCCUAGUUCUUGACCAACAAAUUAUCUAUAUAAAAUAUUUUCUUGUCCUAUAUGAAGUUUUAUUCUAUUAUUUUAAAAUAUUAAUUUUUUAUAAAUAAAUUUUAGUAAUUUUAUUUUUAUUAUUUAAAUAAUAAAUACAAUCAAAUCAUAACUGUCCAACGCAUGCAUCAAAAAAUAUCAUAAUUUUCGACAACUAACUCUAAACUUUUCUUUUUUUUUAAAAAAAAAAAGGCAUUCAAAUUAUUGUAUCUGAAUUUUAAAAAAUAAUAAUAAUUUCCCAGAAAAUUGAGAAAAUUUUGUAAAUAAAAGAAUUCGAAAAAAUAAAAAAUAAAAAAAUUAUUGCUUAAAGCAAAAGAAGUCAACAAAAAGGUUGACUUGUAGACAUGUUUUAAAGGUAUAUAGUAACAUGAACCCUACUUGACUUAGUUUCUAGUUUUGGGGGGCAGAACAAGUGACUAAUUUUAAUUAUAACUCAUCACAUGGUCUUAAAAAUAAAUAAAUAAAUAAUUAUUACUUAAUUAAAAUGGGACGGUUGUGAUCACUCUUAAGCUACGAUCAUCCUCUGCCUUUGCCUUAAUGUUCUUCUCCUUAAAACCAUGGCCGCCCUUGGAUUUUGUUUGUCCUAUGCAUGUGCUUCAAGCUUAUUAAAAAAAUUAUAUAUUUUUUGAGUUUAAUAAAAUUAAUGUACUAGAUUUAUUUUUUCUUGAAGUAAUAAUUGGGUCCAAUUAAUCACCACCGGUUAGGAAUUAUCUAUUUAUCAUUUUUUAAAUAUAUAUUUAAUUAAAAACAUAGAAAUAAAAUUUUUUGUAUAAGAAACAAGAUAAAAAAUAUAAGGUUAAAAAAUGUUAUAAGUUCAUGUACUCUUUACAAAUUUAGAAUUUAAUCUAUUUACUUUUAUUUUAAGGAAUUUAGUCCCUCUAAUUUUUAAAUUUCAAAAUGCAAGUCCGAUUGUUAAUACUAUUAAAUUGAUUGCUAUGACAUUUUGAAAUUAAAAAAAAAUCACUUGAUAGCCAUGUAACUAAAAAAUGACGUGUAAUGAACCUGAAUUUAACAAAAUAAUUUUAUCAGUGUUAAUAGUUUGACUUGAACUUUGGAAAGUAGAGAGACUAAAUUUUUAGAAGUAAAAAUAUAAUAACUAAAUUUCGGAUUUGUGAAGAGUGCAGGGACUUAUGGCAUAUUUCAACCAAAAUAUAAAUUAUUGAGAGGCUAAAUAAAAAUAUUUAUGUUAAGAGGGGCUACAUUGAUUUAUUAAAUUUCGAGGGAGUCAAAAUACAAUUUCACCGUAUGAAUCAACAAGACAAAGACCUGACAUACUCAUUUCAAACUUGUCUUUUUUUAAAAUAAUAUUAUGUCUAAUAAAUUUUAUUAAUAUUUCCCAUUAUUAAAAUAUUUGUAUUGAAGUUCUCAGUUAACAUUGGUCCUAAGUUCAAUCCCCAAAUAACCAUCACUCCUACCUCUUUAUAAAAAUAUGAAUCUUUAAUUAUAUAUGGGAUUUGAAGAAUCUGAAGUCUGUUAAUAAGGUGUGGCAAAGGAAGUGGGCAUACCUUUUAGCACACACAAAGAUAAAAUGCAAGAAUAGAAUGCAAAAUGUUGUUAACUUAGUUUAAAUAAAACUUUUGUUUAUGAUACCUUGCCCAAAAAAGAAUUUCACUAUUAAAUCUCGUGGUAUAAAACAAUAAUUUAAGUCCAAUCUAUCUUAUUCAUUGAAUAAUUGCAACCUCACCCAAAUACACUUAAUAUGAGCUCUUUCCAAUAAAAACAACUUUAAGGUAAGAAUAAAACAUUCAAAAAAUCCCUUAAUGGAUACAAAAUAUACUCUUUCAUCUACGAGUCCCAUGAAAUAAAGUCAUAUAUACGAGGAGGGAUCUAUUUAGACUUUGUAUGAUUAAUAUUUUAACUAUUCAACUGUCAUAUUUCAUAUUUCAUUCAUAUAGAUCUUGCAUGUCAAAUUUGAUAUAAAUUAAAAUUCUCUAACUAUUUGUCUUACAUAAAAAGCUUUCAACUGUUUAAUAAAUAUUAGCAUAUACACUUUUUUAUAUCAAUAUGAUAAAAAUAUUAAAUCGAUUUAAAAAUUACGAGUACAAUUAUAUUGAUAAAUCUAAUGAUUAAAUUACUAAAAUAUUAAUCGCAAUAUGGGAAAUAUAUAUAGAGGUUGUGAAUAUUGGCUUGUGUUGACCUGUUUAAUCUACUUUUAUCAUGUGCUGGGUAAAUAAGAUAUUAACAUCAUAUAUCAAAACUCUUAUCACCAAAAGAUUAAAACAUUCAGAGCUUGCCAAAUUGCUUCUUUAAGAUAGAGAUUAAUUAUUUUCGAAUUUGAACUCUUCAAUGUAAUUAUAUAAACUUUAUUUUCAUCUUUACGAGUUUUUUUUUACUAGAUUAAUAUAAUUAUAUAAAUUUCUCGAUAAAGAUAAGUCUUCAUCUUGAUCUAGACAAUCAAUAAUUUUGCUGCAUUACAAAACGCAUUGUAAGGUUAUACACCAACCAGAGAUGAAGACAAAGAGGGCAGGCAGUGGUCUUCCCCAAAAUGGUAGAUUUGUCAUUUAAUUCUUUAAGUUUUUUAUGAAAUUACAUGUUAAUGUGGUAGUAAAAUUGCACUUUUAACCUUCUACUAAUUUAUGAUUCAUCUUUGACCCCUUAAAACAUUUUUUUAGCUGCGUCCCUAACCAAAGGUGAAACUAGGAGCCCCUAAAAUAGAAAAAUAAAAUUAUACUUUAACCCCUCUAAAAUAUAAAAAUUUGAUUUAAUUCUUUAAAAAUUAUAAAAAUAUAAAUUAUUUUACUAUAGUAAAAAUUAUAAUUUUAUUUCGGCCCUAAAAGAUUUUCUGAUUUCCCCCUUAACUAACACCAACCAAAUUAAAACAUAUAAUUAACUCUCUCUUUCCAACAUUUCUUCUUGUAGAAUAAACAAAAAUUAAAAUGUAGUUUCUCAAGGAUCCAAUUAGUACAUAGUUAUCGAAAUGAAGGUAAAUGGCAGGCUCCUCAUUUCACCUACAUGCAUCUUUCAUUGUUGCUAAAACGACCACGUAUAUACGUUAAGAUUCUCAUUUAGGAUUUAGGGUCUAAAACACGUUACAUCUAAUGUAAAUGGAUUCGUUUAAUAGAGGUUUAAUACGUAUUAGUCGAGGAUUAAUUAUUAUUAUUGUAAAAGAUUAUAUUUUUUAUACAAUAUUAAAAAUAAAUUAAAUUCGUAUUAAACAUAUAUUUGACAAAAAAUUUAAUCCCUACUCAUAAAAACUUAAAAAAUUAUAAUUACUAUACUAAAUUUAUUGAAUUUGAGAAAAUGCGAUGCAUUAAUAUUAUAUAUGCUUCACUUUAACCAAUGACCCUAGUUAACAUUUUUCCAAUAAAUAGGAGCUAUGAUUAAUCAUUAGUUUUUUUUAAUCGGGACUAAAAGGUAAGAAUUCGAUACAUUCCUAAAUCCCAAAAUAUAAUUGUUGAUUGAAUAACGAAAUGUAUUUAUUAUAAUCUAUUGAGCCUGAUACUUUUCAAGUACCCCGAUUACUAUUCAAAAAUUUUUACAGUCUGAUAAUAUUUUCCUCAAUAAAAUUGUUUGAUUUUUUUUAUUUUCGAUUAAUGUAUUUAUUUCUACUAAAAAACAUUUUCCCAAUAUGUCAUUCCUUUCACUUCUUUUUUAUGUCUUAAAUUUAUUAUUUAUAUUAAUAUAUACCUAGUGAGAUUUUACUUAGAAAUUGGGCAUUAAAUAAUUAUAGUUAAUUCUCUCCAAGCUCUUGGGUAUAUGUUAUUUCAGCUUCACGAGGAAAAAGAUUACUUGGAGUCGGUUUUCUUUUCCUUAUAUAUGAUUAACAAAUAAUUUUCUUUUACUAUAUAAUAACACAUAUGGCAAUGACAUACUUACAUGUAUACACUACUUUAAAGGGGUUAUCUAAAUAAAGACAUAUCACUUAUUUUUCGAAAACUCAAAUUUGAGUAGAUUCUAUGUAUGAAUUUCCCUUAAUCAUUAAGUCAAGCACGAAAAUUUAAAAAUAAUUUCUUAUAAGUUAUAGAGUGGUAAAUAUAUAAUUUAACGCAAUUGUAAUUAUUAUAAUAUUAAAAUAAAUAUUUUAUAAUUAAAAUAAUAACUUAAAAUAGUACCUAAAUUUCUUUUAUUUAUUUGAAAAAUUACUCUUUCAAAAAGUAUUUAUAAAAGGGAAAGCAAUAAAUAAGUAUGCUUUUAUCAAAAUAAAUUUAAAAAAUAAAAAAAUAAUAUAAAAAAAUCCAUUCAAAAUCUACUAUACACGAAUAUCAUGCUUUAAUCGCAUCACAAAGCAUUUCUCAAGUAGAAGUACAUAGAUAAUUAACGAAGCCAAUAGUUUUCUCAUAUUAAAUUACGUUUCAUAUGACACAUAGCGUAGCCAGGCAUGUUCAUUCUAAACAAUUUUAACAUUAAAAUUAACUUGGUGGUAGAACAUGAUCGUAUAUUCCAUUAAUAAAUUUAUAGUUUUUAAUGGUUAAAUAAAUUGAUGUUUAUGCAAUAAGAUAAAAUUAACAACUUUUUUUUGUAUAAAAUAUAUAAAACCAACAAUAUUAAUAAUAUUAAUAAUGAUAUAAUUUGUAUCAGAUUACGCCAGAUGCACAAGGUGAUUGAGAUUAUGUACUAAAUAUAUUUAUAAAAAAAUUGAUAUAAAUAAAUAAAAGGUAUAAAAUGACGAAAAUAUCUUUAAAAUAAUAUAGUUUAUUUUGUAAAAUAAGGAUAUUUUCGUCAUUAUUUAACAGAGUUUAUACUCAUUUAACUCAUGAUACCAAACUUGAUAGAGUAUUUAACGUUAGUAAAGAUAUUUUUGUUAAUCGGACUCAGAAAAUUUGUUUUGAAAUUUUUUUAGGGAAAAUAAAAUAAAAUUGGCUCUCCCCUUUGACUAAAGUUUACCAUAAUGUGGGAAGGGAAAUAUAUAAUAUUAAAACAUUACAUACAAACUUUGACUUUAAUUAAGUUGCUAUUAACUAACUAUAUAGAAUUUCAUGUGACCAUGCAUGGAAUAUAGGUGUGGAUAAACAUUAUGAGAAAAAGUAAGAAAUAAUUCUCAUCAUUAAAUGGGUCACCACAUAUGCAAGUUCAACCUCUAAUUCCCUAAUUUUAAAUUAAAACCAAUGGUUCUCAUCUUUGAAAAAAAAAAUCUAAAUCCAUGUGUGUAGUUCUUUUUGGGGGAUUUAGAAGGGAGGUCGGCACCUUGAAUUGAGAGAAACCCUGUUUGAAAAUUCACAUAAUUAAAUAAUUAUAUAUUUUUGUUGCCUAGUGGGUUACAAACCAAUUUUUUUUUUUAGAAAAUGGGGAUCAUUGCCUCGUGAAAAGAUUUGGUACAGCCAUUAGAUGCAACGUGAAAAUAUUAGGAUUAGUUUCUUUAUAAUUAAAGUAUUGGGUGUUUUUCUCUAUAUAUAUUUAUAUGAUAUGGGUAUUGUUUAUUGACAUGACAUGUUAGAUAGGUUUUAUACAUAUAGACACAUAUUUUACUCUAGAUUCAACAUGUGUUUAUACAAUCUCAUGCACGUGUAAUCUCGCAAGAGAGCUUGGUCUGCGAGCUCAUUAGAAUUCGGCCCAAACUCAUUCAGAUUUUGAACUAGUAAUAAUAAUUAUCCUAACUUAAAUAGAUUAAUUUAGUCUCUAAAAUUAUUAUUUAGUUUAAAAUUCACAUAAAAAAAUAUUAUUUUCGCUUUUGCAAAUUAACUUUUAUUCAAAUUUGAUUUCAUCUAAUUUUUCUUUAAAAUAAUGAUUUAUCGAGAGAGUUGUUAUUAGAUACAAUAAAUUUGACUUUUAGUGACAAUUUAUUGGCGACGUUUGACUUCAAAAUUCUAGUUGAAGGGGAAAAUAAUUAUUAAAAUAAGAGAAAUAGAUGAGUUCAACUUUUAUAUUGCAUUUCAACUUAUCAACCGAAUAUGGAAGUUGGGAUUUGAUCGUUAAUAAUUUUAAUAAAAUAUCUACACAAUGCAUCCCUCAUUAUUUGCUUUCUAUUGUUAAAUUUGACUUCUUAACUAGAUUCUUUACAAUAUAGGCUUUUAAUUUUAGCAUAACAUGCUAUAAGUUAAAAUUUUAUAUUAAAUUAUUAAUUUUUUGGAAGGGACAAAAUUAAAAAUAUAAAUUUUUUCUUAAAUUAAAUUAUUGUUUUUUGACUGAUUGAGUCUUAACUCGAUUAGUAUGGGUAUUGUUGUCAAUGCAGGAGGAUGUAAAUUCGAACGUGUUGAAGUGCAUUAUUCUCUUAUUUGUGAGUUAGGAAGAAAUUAUGGGUAGUUUUAGUAUUCUUCAAAAAGAACAGAUACAGCGAUUGUAUUCAAGAAAAUUCUUUUAUGAUAUAAUCUUUUAAAAAAUCUAAAAUAAUAAUUAAAAGGAAAAGGAAAAAAUAAACGAAAAUAAGAAAGGAAAUCCUUGAAAAUCCAGUCCCUAAAAGUAGAAACGUCGGGUGGUGUGCAAAGCGACGGUGGUGCAAGGCAAAGCUGUUCACUUGGUGUAUGUGCAUGGGUGCCUUUGGGUUCAACACAAAUACACACUACAUUUCCCUCUCAAAUCAAAUAUCAUGCAUGCAUGAAAAUAUGUGCUUAUUUAUAUAUAUAUACACAUAUCUUAUAUAGUUUUUUUUAAAGCUGGAAAAUAAUACUUCUUUGGAAAUGAUUUUAUAUUAUAUGGUAAACUAUAUACAUAGAAACUCCAAACCAAGAAAACGGCUCUUACUCUCUUUUUCUUUUUUUCAUGAAAAGGAGAGACAUUCAUUGGGAACUCAAGGGUCGUCCACAUGCAAUCCAAUUACCAACCAAAAAAUUUUAAACCCUAAAUUUUAUUCCAUGAAGGUACAAUUACGAUUAAACCCUAAAUAUUUAAAAGCUUUCCAGCCACAGAACCAUGCAUCAUCAUAAUCAAAAUUUUAAAAAAAAGGGAAUGCAACAAAAGGCUUUAAUUAUGAGGAGGAAUGGGCAUGCUGUUGUUCCAAUAGGGUCGGAAGCGUGUAAAUUAUUGUACUAAAAAAUCACACAAAGUUCAAUUCCCAGGGAAGAGAGGUGGAUCACAUGGAUCUCUUAAAUACCAAGUCUUUCCUUAGUCAGAAUAUCCAUUCUAUAGUAAUUUAAUAGCACAAUUAAAUACUACUAUUAUACCCUCAAAUAUUGAAAAAAAAAUAGGACAAAAAGAACAUAAGAGUUUUAACGAGGUUCGGUAAAUUAUACCUACGUCCUCGGGCACUAACACUAGAUGAUAACUUUACUAUCUCCAAAAUAUUACAAACAAAUAGAAUUCCUUAAGAAUUCUCAAAUGGGAGAAGAGAGAAAACUAAGAGAGAAAGAUUGGUUGGGAUGAAUUGAAAUGAGAAAUGAGAAGGCCUAUUUAUAGUUGAGGUUCAAGGACCAAACAAUAAAUAGCCCAUUAUCUCAAGGACCAAAAAAAAAUUAUCCCUUGCCACUUUUCCAAAGUUGGUGGUUGUCAUUAUUGAUUGUCUCCCAUUAAUGUUAAUGGCAACCAUUAUUAAUUGUCUUCCAUUAAUGUUAACAAUCUCCACCUUGAAGAUUUGAUUAGGAUAAUCACAUCUUCACACACUUCCUUCAACUCCCCAAAUUCGAUAAAGCUAUCUUUUGUAGUGCCUACAAAUGCGCUCUCGAGCGCCAUACACCUGAAGGUGCUCAAAUUCUCAGGAUGUUAAUCAAGUUCAAACAAUGAUUAAACUUGAUUGUUGUUACCACCUUGGUCAUCAUAUCUGCGGGAUUAUCUGCUGUCGGAAUCUUCUGAAGUAGAAUUUUUCCUUUUUCAAAGACUUCCCGCACAAAGUGAUAUCUUACGUCGAUAUGCUUGGUUCUUGAAUGAUAGACUUGAUUUUUCACUAAAUGAAUAGCGCUCUGACUGUCACAAUAUAAACUUAUGUGACUUUGAACAACUCCUAAGUCUUUCAACAAUCCAUUAAGCCAAAUAGCCUCCUUAACAGCUUCUGUAACUGCCAUAUAUUCUGCCUCUGUAGUAGACACAGCUACUGUAGACUGUAAGGUAGACUUCCAACUCACUAGGGCUUUCGCAAGAGUAAACAGAUACCCCGUAGUUGAACGACGUUUAUCUAAAUCACCAGCAAAGUCGGAAUCAACAUAUCCAACUACAAACUGACCAAGUGCUUCACCCUUCUCAAAAAUUAAACCAACAUCUACGAUUUUUCGAAGAUACCGUAGAAUCCAUUUCACAGCUUGCCAAUGUCCUUUUCCAGGAUCAUGCAUAUACCUGCUCACAACUCCAACAGCUUGUGAAAUGUCAGGCCUCGUACACACCAUUGCAUACAUCAAACUCCCAACUGCAUUAGCAUAUGGGACUUUCGCCAUAUAUUCUCUUUCUUCUUCAGUUUUCGGAGAUAAUUGAGCACUAAGUUUCAAAUGAGAAGCAAGUGGGGUACUUACAUGUUUUGUGUUUUCAUUUACACCAAAACAUUGUAAUACCUUUUUCAGAUAUUGCUUCUGAUUCAAACAAAGCUUGCCUCUCUGUCUAUCUCUACUUAUCUCCAUGCCGAGAAACUUCUUGGCCUCACCUAGAUCUUUCAUCUCGAACUCUUGAUUCAACUGAGCCUUCAGCUUAUCUAUCUCAUUUUGGCUCUUCGAAGCGAUUAACAUAUCAUCAACAUACAAGAGUAGAUAAAUGAAAGAUCCGUCAUGCAGCUUCUGCAAAUAUACACAAUUGUCAUAUUUGCUUCUUGUGUACUUCUGCCUUCUCAUAAAGCUAUCAAAUCGCUUGUACCACUGCCUCGGGAAUUGCUUCAAUCCAUAUAGCGAUUUGUUAAGCUUACAAACCCAAUUUAUACCACCAGCAUCUGUGUAUCCUUCUGGCUGAGUCAUAUAGAUCUCCUCUUCUAACUCACCAUGCAAGAAAGCCGUCUUAACAUCAAGUUGAGCUAGCUCCAAAUUCAACUGUGCUACCAAGGCCAACAAAAUUCUAAUGGAGGAAUGCUUCACAACAGGGGAAAAUACAUCAUUGUAGUCAAUUCCCUCCUUCUGAGCGUAGCCUUUAGCUACCAAUCUUGCCUUGUAGCGAAUAUCCUUCUUGCUAGGAGAUCCAUCUUUCUUUGCGAAUACCCACUUACAUCCGAUUGCCCUUUUACCUUUCGGUAAUUGCGCCAACUCCCAAGUAUUGUUCUUCCGGAGAGACUGCAUUUCUUCAUCCAUGGCGCUUUUCCAUUUAUCACUUUCUAAGCUUUGCAUUGCUUCUUGAUAAGUGAUAGGAAUAUCAUCAACAACGGGAAGGGCGUAGGCCACCAUAUCAGUAAAUCAAGUAGGUUUACGAAUUUCUCUCCGUGGCCUUGCAACUACAACUGGUUCUGGUGUACUUAGUGGUUCUUGGGUCAGAACCUCUUCAACCUCUAAUUCCUCCAUUGUGGCUGGAGAAUUAGACUUAUUAACUGGGCAAAUCCCCAUCUGCUCAAACUCCACCUGUUUUGGAGUACACUCCACCUGUUGUGGAGUAUUGCUCGUCUGAAUAUCUUUAUCUGCUACCUUUUUCAAUGUGGCAGAUUCAUCAAAGGUAACAUCUCUGCUACAGAUCAUUUUCUUUGUGCUUAAGCACCAAAGACGAAAUCCCUUCACUCCAGAAGUGAUUCCCAUAAAGAGAGCUUUCUUUGCCCUCAGAUCUAACUUUGACUCCUUUACAUGGUAAUAUACAGUGGUUCCGAACACAUGUAAGGAAUCAUAAUCUGUAGCCGGUUUUCCAGACCAUACCUCCAUAGGAGUUUUUCUUUCUAAUGCAGAUGAUGGCAAACGAUUAACAAGAUGGCCAGCGUAUGUCACAGCCUUAGCCCAAAAUUGCUUGCCCAACCCAGCAUUGGACAACAUACAUCGAACUUUCUCCAGCAAUGUUCGAUUCAUACGCUCUGCCAAUCUAUUCUGCUGUGGUGUAUCCCUAACUGUGAAGUGUCGAACAAUACCAUACUCUUGGCACACAUCGAAGAACGGAUCACUUUUAUAUUCCCCUCCAUUGUCCGUCCUAAGCCGCUUGAUUUUCUUGCCAGUCUGGUUUUCGAUCAUAGUUUUCCAUUUAAGAAAAACUCUAAGCACUUCAUCCUUAGUUCUCAUGGUAUACACCCAAACUCUUCUGGAAAAGUCAUCAACAAAAGUAACAAAGUAGUGUUUUCCUCCCAAUGAAGGUGUCUUGGAAGGCCCCCACACAUCUGAGUGAACAUAUUCCAAAAUACCUUUUGUAUUAUGGAUAGCAGUACCGAAUUUCACUCUCUUUUGCUUUCCCAGAACACAAUACUCGCAAAAUUUUAAUUUGCAAGCCUUUGCACCUUUCAACAAUCCUUGCUUUGCCAGAAUUUGCAAGGAUUUUUCGCUGGCAUGUCCCAACUUCAUAUGCCACAACUGUAUUGAGUCUAAUUCUUUGUUGCCGGAAGCUGCAGCGACUGCUCCAAUAACUGUACUACCUUGGUAGUAAUACAAGUUAUUUUUUCUGAUGCCCUUCAAUAUCACAAGUGCGCCAGAUGUCACUUUCAAAAUCCCAUCUCUCAUAGUAACAACUGAUCCAUUGGAUUCCAGGGCUCCCAAUGAGAUGAGAUUUUUCUUCAAACUGGGCACGUACCGAACAUCAGUCAGAACUCUGGUUGAUCCAUCUUUAUUCUUUAAUUGGAUUGAACCUAUCCCAACAGUUUUACAGGCAUUGUCAUUGCCCAUAUAAACAACUCCUCCGUUUAGUUCUACUAAAUCAGAGAACCACUCCCGGUUAGGGGACAUAUGAUAGGUACAACUCGAAUCCAAUAUCCACUCAUCUGAAUGGAACGACGAUGAUGAUGCAACCAGUGAUAGUUCAGAGUCACUGGUAUCAUGCUUUGCAACACAAGCAUCUACAGCAGUUUUUCCCUUAUUCUUCAGCUUUGGACAAUUUUUCUUCCAGUGGCCUUUCUAAUGACAAAAAGUACAUUCAUCUUUCCCGAGUCUGGACUUUGACUUUGAUCUCCCCUUUUGAGUUUUCUUCCGAGUGUAUGAACGACCUCGGACUACUAAAGCUUCUGUAUCUCUGAUUGAGUUUUUCUGUUUGUCCUUCUUUCUCUGUUCAUAACUGUAUAAGGCCGCACAGACUUCGCUCAGAGAUAUAUCACUCCUGCCAUGAAGUAGAGUAGUUUCUAGGAACUCAAACUCCUCAGGAAGUGACCCCAACAGCAUCAAAGCCAAAUCUUCAUCUUUGAAUGUCUCAUCCAUAUUCAGCAAAUCAGUGACUAACUGAUUAAAUUAGGUGAUGUGAUCAUUCAUUGUGGUACUUGGGACGUAUGUGAAGCGAAACAGUCUUUUCUUCAAGUGGAGUUUAUUUUGACUGUUUUUCUUCAAAAAAUUUUCUUCAAGUGCCACCCACAACUUAUUUGCAGAAGUCUCCUUUGAAAAAGCAUACCUCUGCUCUCGAGAAAGGCAUGAUCGAAUUGUGCCACAUGCCAACCGAUUGAUCGCCUUCCAAUCUUUCUCUUGUACAUCAUCUGGUUUCUCUUAAUCAAUGGCAAUGUCUAGACCCUGCUGAAAAAGGGCAUCUAGAACCUCACUUUGCCACAUACCAAAAUGGCCCGUGCCAUCAAAGAUCUCCACGGCCAAUCUUGCAUUUGCAAUUGUCGGUCUUGUCCACAUGGACGAUGUUGAAGCUCCUACACCGACCGUUUUCUCCAUAAUCUUUCAAUAUACCUAAGGAAAUCUUUUCUGAUGUGGAAGAUCAGUUCAAACUGCAACCACAGAGCAUACUACGAUUAACCUUCGGCUCUGAUACCACUUGUUGUUCCAAUAGGGUUGGAAGCGUGUAAAUUAUUGUACUAAAAAAUCACACAAAGUUCAAUUCCCAAGGAAGAGAGGUGGAUCACAUGGAUCUCUUAAAUACCAAGUCUUUCCUUAGUCAGAAUAUCCCUUCUAUAGUAAUUUAAUAGCACAAUUAAAUACUACUAUUAUACCCUCAAAUAUUGAAAGAAAAAUAGGACAAAAAGAACAUAAGAGUUUUAACGAGGUUCGGUAAAUUAUACCUACAUCCUCGGGCACUAACACCAGAUGAUAACUUUACUAUCUCCAAAAUAUUACAAACAAAUAGAAUUCCUUAAGAAUUCUCAAAUGGGAGAAGAGAGAAAACUAAGAGAGAAAGAUUGGUUGGGAUGAAUUGAAAUGAGAAAUGAGAAGGCUUAUUUAUAGUUGAGGUUCAAGGACCAAACAAUAAAUAGCCCAUUAUCUCAAGGACCAAAAAAAAAUUAUCCCUUGUCACUUUUCCAAAGUUGGUGGUUGUCAUUAUUGAUUGUCUCCCAUUAAUGUUAAUGGCAACCAUUAUUAAUUAUCUUCCAUUAAUGUUAACACAUGCAUGCAUGCAUGUGUGUCGAACUAACGAGCAUUUGCCGAAAACAAGACGGCCUUCCCAUGUACCUUGAAGUUUCUUUUUUUUUUUUUGUAAGUUUCAAUAUAUCGUAACAAUCAAAACCGUGUAUAAUUACUGUAUUAUGCUUUGAACCUCUAUUCCAUUCCUUACCUAGUACUCCACAAUUAAUCUUUUUAAUUUGAAUAAAGUAUAUAUAUUCUCUCUUCUUUACAUUCAUUCCCACCCAUUAAUUGCUGGAGGCUUGUUACAUAAAUAUUAUGUGCUACAUAAGCUUUUCUUUUAAACGUAUGUAGACCAUUUUCAAGGAUCUUAAUGGACCAUGCAAAGAAGCUUAGAAACAAAUAGAUAAAAAAAAAGUCUCUGUGUGUGUUGUUUCUCAAAUAAAUACUAGCAAAACAGUGGAGAGUAGCUAGUGAAGUGAUAGAGCAGAUUUCUUGGAAGGGAUAUCGAGGGAUUGGGUUGGAAAAUGGUGUGAAAAUUUAGUAAACAAAUAGAAGAUGAGGGAAAACUUGUGUGGAAGACAGUUGGCGAAAUGGGGUUUGUGUGGGUAGAAACAGCCUUUCAGGUGUUAAUCCCAAAGGAGAGGAGCUGUUGAUUAUGACACUGUGUGUGUGUGUGUGUGUGUGAAGAAACCCUUACUUGGCUUAGUUGCCUCAUCCACUCCACGUGGGAGCAUUGCCUAUAUCCCACUCACAACUUGCCUAUAUGUCAUCAAUGUAAGUGUUUUAUUGUUGAAAUUCAUACAAAGUGACGAGUAAGGGCUUUAGCCCCUUGGUAGUAUAAUUAUGAUUAUAAUGCCUCUCAAAUGUCACUCUACAAUACAAUUAUUUUUUGUUUCGUCUCUCCAAUUUUUUUAGUUAAUUAUCUCGAUUCUUUGUAUAUAUAUUCGAACCACUAUUGGUCAUAUUUCUCUUUGCCGAGAAACCGAAGAAGCUAUACAAGAGUUUUUUCGGGCCUACUCAUAUGAUACACAAUCAUAUGGUAUCUAAGCUAAAAAAUUCUAUGACACCAAAAUGAAUUCGGGUCUCUCCAGUUCAACUAGGACCCCAGUUCCUGACCCAACUUUCUACCAAAAUCAAGAUCAAGAAAAGAAAGUUUUCCAAUCAUUGACUCAAACCUAUUGGCGAAGUCCACUUAGCAAAAUAAGGUGGUAUUUAUGGCCAGCAAGCCACUGCUACAUCCAUUUCAUUAGGAUGACUGACCCUUGAUCUUAGUACCACACACUGAAAUACUUAAAUUUAAGAUUUUAUCAUUGUAUUUUAGUUGAGUAUAAUGUCCAUCCAAUUCAUCAUGCUAAUAUGAAUUUUUUUUGACACAAUGCAUAGAACUACCCCUAGUCCCUUCCCAACCCAUAAACAGGAGAAUAAUGUGUUUUAGUACAUUUGAACUCAUGUCCUCUUGUAUUGGCAACAAUGCCCAUAUCAAUUGGCUAACAUGAAUCUUUUUAUGAUCAAAGCAGUUGUGAGUUGAUACAGAGGGAGCUAUUUUUUCGAAAACUUAUUAUUAUCACUUAAGUUUUGAGGCGUUACCCUUUUUGUAACAAAAAAAAUUAUAUCUACAUUUUAAUUAACUAAAAAAAAUUAUAUUGACAUUUUAAUUGCAAUAGUUAAUGAUGUAUGUCUAUAUGAACAAAUUAAUAAUAUUAUAAAAAUAAAAUGAUCAAAUUAUAUUAAAUCAAAAUAUAAAAUCAAAAUCAAAAUUUUAAUAAAAUAGAAAUACCAAAAUCAAGAUUUUCCCUUAUUAUUAAUUUUUUGAGUAUUGAGGAAGAAACUCUUUGGAGAGGUCCAUAGAAUCAAAUGAGGAUGUUUCGACUGUUGUGUCAUUUUCUUUGCUCCCCAAUAUAUUCCCUCUCAGCUCUCUGCUUCAUCUUAUAUUUAUGCUAAUUGAUUUUUAGUUGUGGUAUAUGAAAUCUAAAAUAUUAAAAUCGAUAUUAUUGAAAAAGAUUUUACUUAAAUAUUAUUCAAUCAUAAAACGGACACCUAUAAUUAUAAAAGAAAAAUAGUAUAUAGAAUCUAAAGCUUGCUAUUAAACCAUUUAGACUCCAAAUUAUUUUCAUUAGGCCCUUAAUGAUUCUUCUCAAUAUCUGCAUAUUCGAAUGUGUGGAAAUAAAAAAAAUUUUACGCUUUUAAUUAUUUUUAUUAGGUAAAACGAUAAAUUUAGUCCCUACGGUUUAAUUUUUGUUACUUUAGCUUUAAUUAUUUUUUGGGAAUCAUUUUAACACCUUAUCAACAUUUAAAUUUUGGUCAUUUACUUUUCUUAGUUGGAAAAAUAGACUAUAAUGUUGAAAUUUUAACUAUAGUGACAUGGUAGCCCACAUGAUAAAUCGUGUGUGCUUCAUAAAAUUUUAAAAGAAAAUAAAAAAUUUCAGAAAGAAGCUCAUAAAAAAUAAAAAUGAUUAUCCACCACAGCAAUGAAGUAUAUACAUGAAUUGCUACACAGGUUGCUACGUCAGUGUGGUUAAAAUUUUAAUAGUUCAAUCAACUUUUCUAUUUAAAGAAAACCUUGAUUAAAUUUUGAAAGUUGAACACUAAAAUAAUUUAAAAAACUAGAGCUAAAAAAAAUUUAAAAAAAAAGAGAUAAAUAUUAAACUAAAUUUAUUAUUAUAUAAAAGUUCAAUCAUUCAAUUUUCUUUGAAGAAUUUAAUCAUUCAAUUUUGUAUAAUCAUGAUUUCAUCUAAAGGAAAGAAUAAAUAUCCUUGAACAAUUUUUUCUUAAACCAAGUAUAAUCUAUAUAAGAUCUAUUAAUAUUUUUUUUAUUCCAUAAUAAAACAAAAAACAAAACUUAGCCAUUAGCUUAUAUGAUUUGAAAGCCCUUUGAGAUCACAUUAAUUAUUGAAUGUCAUCACAUGGUCCUUCACUCCUUGACUCCCUUUCACACCACCACCACUUCCUCUAUAUAAACACACCCCCAUUACCUCAAAUCCUUCCAUAUCAACAACAACAACUACAACAAAUCAAGAACAUCAAAUUUCAUCCAUUUUCAGUUCAUCAAAAAAAAAAACUUACUUUUUUUUUUCAAAAACCCUUUAGCCAAAACUUAAAAACAAUGGAGAACUUGUUUAGACUUGUGGAUCAAGAUCAAGGUUUCUUUCAACGUAAAUGGACAUUGGUCAAUGGUCCAUUGAUAGUAGGUGCUGGUCCAUCAGGGUUAGCCACUGCUGCUUGUCUUAGAGAACAAGGUGUCCCUUUUGUUGUCCUCGAAAGAGCCGAAUGCAUAGCAUCUCUAUGGCAAAAACGAGCCUAUGAUCGGCUCAAACUUCAUCUUCCUAAACAGUUUUGUCAACUCCCUAAAGUACCAUUCCCUGAAGAUUUCCCUGAGUACCCAACAAAGAAACAGUUCAUUGAAUACCUUGAAUCAUACGCUAAGCGUUUUGAUAUUAACCCAAAGUUCAAUGAGUGUGUACAAUCAGCUAGGUACGAUGAAACCAGUGGUUUUUGGAGGGUUAAGACGGUAAGAGGCUCUAAUAAAGCCGAGUUCGAGUACAUUUGCCGAUGGCUAGUUGUGGCCACCGGCGAAAAUGCCGAGUCAGUGGUGCCGGAUAUCGACGGAUUGGCCGACUUUGGUGGUGAAGUUAUUCAUGCUAGUGAAUAUAAAUCCGGUGAGAAAUUCAAAGGCCAAAAUGUACUCGUCGUUGGUUGUGGUAAUUCAGGGAUGGAAGUUUCACUUGACCUUGCUAACCAUAAUGCUUCACCUUCAAUGGUGGUUCGCAGCUCGGUGAGUUUCAUUAUUUAAACAAAUAAAGUAAUCGAUUUCAUCAUUGGAUUGAAUUCUAAUGAUGGGUUUCUUUUUAUGUUUUAACAGGUUCAUGUAUUACCAAGAGAAGUUUUGGGGAAAUCGACGUUUGAAUUAGCUGUUUUGAUGAUGAAAUGGCUACCACUUUGGCUCGUCGACAUGAUUUUGUUGAUUUUGGCCUGGUUGGUGCUGGGAAAUAUUGAGAAAUAUGGAUUGAAAAGGCCAUUGAUGGGUCCAUUAGAGCUUAAGAACAGUAAAGGGAAAACACCGGUGUUGGAUAUUGGUGCAUUGGAGAAAAUCAAAUCGGGUGAUAUUCAAGUUGUUCCUGGAAUAAAGCGGUUCUCACGUGGACGACUUGAGCUCGUUAAUGGUGAGAAACUCGACGUUGACUCAGUUGUUUUAGCCACUGGGUACCGUAGUAAUGUUCCCUCUUGGCUUCAGGUGAGAAAAUUGUUUUAGACUCUUAUAUAUACAUGUUGGUAAAAUUUAGAUUUUAGUCCCUUUAUUUUGUUUAAAUUUGAAUUUUACUUCUUAUAUUUUAGCCAAUUUAUCACUUUACCAUAAUAUCAAACUAACUAUUUUUUAUAAUUCAAUUUCAACUCUUUCUAAAAAAAUUUCUAAAUUCUCCCUGCUUCGAACUCAACUAUGUUAGAAUGAUGCUUUAAAAAAAAACUAAAAUUAUUAUUUUUAUUCAAAAUAGUCAACAAUAUUGACUAUUUGAAUCAACUAAUGACAUUAUAAAAUUAAAAGAAUCAAAUUAUAUCAAAUUAAAAUAUAGAGAAAGUAAAAUUUGAAUUUAAACAUAUCAUUAAAGGGACUAAAAUAUAAAUUUUGACCCUAUUAUCUCAAACCACAAACAUUUAUUAAUGCUGUUUUUAUUAUGAAAAAAACAGGAAGGUGAAUUUUUCUCCAAGAAUGGAUUCCCAAAGGCACCAUUCCCAAAUGGAUGGAAAGGGAAAGGUGGACUGUAUGCAGUUGGGUUCACUAGAAGAGGCCUAUCUGGUGCUUCCUCAGAUGCCAUUAACAUUGCUCAAGAUAUUGGCAAAGCUUGGAAACAAGAAAAUAAGCAGCCCAAAAAGAGGACCAUUGCUUGCCAUAGGCGAUGCAUUUCACUUUCACAGUUCUAAAUUUCUUAUAUAUAUAUAUAUAUAUCAGCAGUAGCAUGGGAACAUAACUUUACCUUUGUUCUUUUGUUUUAUUUUUUUCAUGGUGUAAGAAGAAGAAAAAAAAUAGGUAGUAGUAAAAUAGCACCCACUGGCAAAUAAAUUAUAGUCAUUGCUGUUGAUGGUGAAUACCUUGAUUACGAUCAACAUAGAGCCCUCUCUCCAAAAGCCCAAGUUGGUUUUUUAUUUCUUUGGGCAUUUUGUAUUAUGAGAUGAUGAGGCUUUUUCUCUUUUCUUUUCAUAUAUAACAUUUGUACUUUGUAUUAUUAUUGUUAAGUAAAAAUUAUAGUUAAAAUAUGCUUUAGGUCUUGUAUUCUUAUUUUUAUUUUACAUUUGCAAUGUAAUUUUUCUAUUUUUAUUUUUAAGAAAUUUAGGCCUUCUUUGAUUAAAUGUUUAAAAAAUUAAUUUUUAAAAUAUUUUUAAUAAUUCACAAUGAAAACUACUAUAUAAUUUUUUUAACAAAAAAGUAUAGAAAAUGAUAGAGAGAGACACCUACUUAUCACUUAACUUUUUUUUUAAAAAAAAUUAAGAUUGUAUUAUCUUUUAUCAAAUAAUAUAAUUAUAUUCAAUAUUUAAUUUUAAGUAAUAUACUAAAUGGAUUUUAUAACUUAAAUUCAAUGGUUAUUUUGUCGGUACUUAAUUUUAAGCAUUAGCCUCUCUAUUUUUCAACACUUAAUUUUUCAAUUUAUCAAACAUAGCUUUAGUCUCUUUACUUUUCAAUUUUAAAACUGCAAGUUCAAUUAUUGACAUAGAAAUUUUUUUUGUUAAAUUUAGAUUCAUUACACCGUCAUAGUAAAUUAAAUAGAAAAAUUUUAACGAUAUUAAUAAUUAGACUUAAAUUUUGAAAUAUUAAAAAUGAAAAAAAAUUAAAAAUAAAAGUAGGGAUGAGAGAGAGAAUAUUUUACCUUUCCCUUUCUUUAUUUUUGUUAAUUGGUUUUCAAGAUUUUUAUCAUUUCACAAUAAGUUGCAAAGCACAAAUAUUAAUCGCUAUUAAGUCCAUUUUCAUCUUUUUUUGGUAGAAAGAAAUAUAGGUAAAGCCCAAAUACAGUAAAAUAUGCUAAUUACUAAUUGAUUCCUCGAGAAAACUUGAAUGAGAAUCCUCUUCUAAUAUCGUCUUGAUUUCAUGCGUUGGUUAAGAACCAUGAGAUGCCUAAUAUCACUAUUUAUCAUCUUUGCUAAAUGAUCUGUCACUUUAUUAAAUGAUCUUCGAAUACUUCUAAAUUUACUCUUAAUCUUUGAGACACGAGUCACAAAUUAACUGAAUUUCAACAACAUUACUCACCGAUGCAAGACCCAUUUGAAGAAUUUCAAUAAACAAAACAUCGUUACUUUCCAAUUUCACUUACUUAAACCCUUUAUUCCAACCCUUUAUUCCAAGAAAGUUGCAAUCCUUCGAGUCCAUUUUCGUUAUUGAUUCUCAUUGGUUUUUCUUAUUUAAUUGAUCAAGUCUUGGGUUUGGACUUUUGAACGAUCUCUCUUUUUAGAAUGUACAUAUAUAUAUAUAUAGGGAAAGCCCUCUUGUCGAUGUACAUUCUGGUCCUAAAGGAUUUAGAUAGGUGGGAGAUCUCUUCUUUCUUCACCGCAACCUUUAGGAGAUUCGAUUGCUAUUUUCAGCUCAAAACUAGAUAGCUAUUCCUCAUUUAGCAUUUAGAUAGGAAAGAGAAUGGCCGCUUAUAUAUAUGUGUGUGUAUAUAUAUGCAAAUAUGCUUACAAAAAAGCCCAAUUGAUUCAAUGUUUAAGAUCUGCAAGUUGUCCAUUAGGGUCUUAUUUAUAGAUGGGUAGAAACCCAUGUUCAUGAUGUAUCAUGGAACAAGCACCUUUCUCUCAUCUUUGGUGAUAGAUGGAGAGGAAAUAAAAAAAAUUAGGUUAAAAUUAAAUUAUAAUUUUUUAAAUCAAAAUAUAAUUUUAUAUUAUAUUAAUUUAUAAUUUGUUGAUAUUUAAAGAGGUUAAAGAGCUUUUUUUUUAAAAAAAUAGGGUUAAAGUUUAAAUUUUCUAUAUAUUAAUUUCUAAUUUUAUCAUUUGUGAAGAAUUAAAAGACAAGUUUUCUAAAUUGGAGUCAAGACCCCUACUUGCACCUCUCUAAAUUUGCAUAUGCUAAUACACCACUAUUUCCUUAAAUAUUAUUAUCUUUUUCAUUGAAAAACUUACUAAAAUAAUCAUUUGGAUAGACGAUGAGAUUGACUCUGAUGAGAUUAAUCAUUGUAGCAUUGUGAUCAAGUAUUGCAGUGGUGAAAUUGACAUUAGUGAUAACAUAUGUGUUUGGAUGCAAACAUAAAAGUGGGGUGAGCUGAAAGUAAAAUAUGAUUAUUAACAUCAUCAUAUUAAAUUUUUUAUUUAUGAAAAUUUUAAUUUAGUUGAUACUUUUGAUAUAAAAAAAUAUAUUAUAUUAGUAAUGGGCCAAAUCCGUCCAGGCCCAAUUAAACCCAAAAUGCCCCAAGCCUCAAAAAAAACCCUAGCCCAAUACAUUAAAAAAAUCAGAAAAAAGAAACAAAAAAAAAACCUAAGUUCAGCCGCCGUACCAUCGCCCAUACCUUCUGCCUUCAACCACUCUCUGCCAUCCCUGAGAAACAAACCAAAGAAGAGCAGAUAAACACAACACGCAAACAGUAGCAGAAACAUUUUUUUUAAUAUUUGUAAUCGGCUUUAAAAGGCCGAAUAAUGAAUGUAAAAGGGGGACUCUUUUCAAAAUUCAAAAAACGAAGAAAUUAAUCAAAAAGAGACCAAGAAUUUCGAAAGGUUUUUUUUAUCCUUUUUAUUUUUUAUUUUUGAUAAAAUAAAUAAAUAAGCAAAACAUACCUGUUGUCUUGUUUUCUCACCACGGUUAAAGGCCGUCGCCGGCGUUUUGAUGCCACAAACCCGUUGGGUUCCCAACGAGGGUUUAAAAGAGGGAAAUAGGAUUGGAAAUAACCCUUUUUUCUUCCCUUUUAUUUCUGAUUUUUGGUUUUAAAAAAGGAGAUAGAGAUCAAAUAAGGGGGGAAGAGACUUAUCUUAGUAUUGACUCCUUCGAGUCCUUGCUUGCUUCGUCGUUAUCGAAGCCUAGGUGAAGAUUCGGAGGCUCAGGAGCACGACCCUCGGAUUCGUGGUCGAACAGGGCUAGAUUUGGCCUUCGCUUGAUGACCGUCGGCCGAAUACAGAGGCAAAACAGCAAUUGAAGUCUUUCUUUUUUUUUUUCGGCCGAAUGAGAGGGGAGGAGGCUAAGGCUUAGUUUGGAUGGGCGGUGUGUUUUCUUGGUGAGAUUGAAUACUAUAGCGGUGAGAAUAAAAAUAGCAGUGGAUAUGUGUUUGGAUUCAAACGUAGUUGUAGCGGUGAGAUGAGAAUAAAAAAUGACCAUUAUAGACAUUAGUUUACAAUGUAUUUAUAAUAAAAUAAAUAAUUAAAUUUAUAUUAAUAUUAAAUAAUAUAACAUAAAAUAAAAUUUUAUUUUUUAUAAAAUGAUAAUUAAAAUAUUAUAAUCAUAUGCAAUAAAAUUUAAAUAUUUUUAAAUUAUAUUAAUAAUAAAUAAUAAAACAUAUUUAAAUUUUUUAUAUUAAAUAAUAAUUAAAAUUAUAUAUUUAUGACAAUAAAUUUAUAUAUUUAUUAAAUUAUUAUAUAAUAAUAUCUAAUAAUAUUUUACUUUCUAUAAAGCUCAAAAAAAAAAAAACAAAGAACAAGGGUAAUAAAAUCACUCACCUCAGUUUCUUCACCACUGUCACCUUUGGCUUCAGUGAAAAUUGAGAACAGCAGUGUAGUGAGAGUGCUCAAUUGCACAUUGCACUGCACCUCAAAUCUCUCAAAUCUUCCAAACAAGAAAUCAGUGCAGUGAAAAGGAAUAUUCACCCAAUAUUCCAUCUCACCGUGGGUAAAAUCUAAUCCAAAGGGAGCCUAAGUUUUGGUGUUGAUUUCAAAUGACUGAGCAUUAGUUUAAGGUUUCUUUUAAUUUUGUUUUUAUAAAGAGUAAAACGGCACCGUUUGAGGGGGACACUUAAUUACGUUGGGUAAAUUCCACACUCGUGUCCCUCCCUAUUUUGCCGUCAUCUGAUUGAGUCCCAUUUAUGUUUCUUUUGUUUUUUUUUAAUUCUUUCCUAAAACUUAUAUGCUGUUUUGAUUUGAUCCAUGUUUACAUGGGGCGUUCAGAAACUUGGAAUAAUGGUGUUUUUAAUACCUGCACAUUCAUGCCCAUCGCACUUUGGUCCUUAUUUUUAUUUAAUGGUUUAUUUUAUUUAGUUUGGGUCUGUUUUAAUUAAGUUUUUUUUAUUUCAAUAGGCAUAAUACUCUAGUUCUUUAACUUAUUUAACAUUUUUAAUUAUUUAAAUAUACAUCCGUAAUUAUUUUGAUGGUUGUGCCUUGCUUUAAUUCAUUUUUUUACUGUUUAAUUACAUUUUUUUUAUAUCAUAUUGUUAAAAUAUUGUGUAACAUUUAAUUUUUUUUUUAUAUCAUUGUAUAUAUGUAGUUUAUAUUAAAAUUGGUUUUACCCAUUUUCAUGCUGUUUCAUGUAUAUGUUUUCUUCUGAAUCUAUAUAUAUAUAUAUAUAUAUAUAUAUAUAUAUAUUCUUUUAAAUCUAUUUAUGUAUAUAUUAUUUCUUCUUAAAUCAUCAUACGUAGUAUUUAUUUUGAGAUUCUUAUACGUAUUUUGGUAUUUUAGAUUAUUACAUGUAUAUAUAUAUUUAUUUUAAACAUUUUUCUAUGCAUUAUCUUACAUCAAAUUUCUCUUUUCACAUUAUUCUUUCUACAUUUUUUUAUAUGUCAUUUGAGUUAAACUCUAUUUCAAUUUCUUAUAUAUUAUUUAGUUACAUUAUUUUACAUGAAAAUUAUUUUAAACUCUUUUAUUAUUCAUUGUAAACCUUUAUUAUUGCUAAUUUUAAGACUAUAUAGGUAUUUAUUUUAAACUUUUUUAUAUAUUAUUUUAGAUAUAUAUAUUUUAUUAUUUAUUUUAAAUUUCUCUUUUACACAUUACUCAUUUUAAGCUCUUUUGUAAGUUAUUUUAAAGUGUCCUUGUUAUUUUUCUAUCUAUUUUUAUUUUUUCAUUUUUUGUGCAUUAUUCAUCUAGAUUCAUUUAACAUAUUGUUUAUUUGAAGUUUGCUUUAUAUAUAUUAUUUUAUGCCAAAAUAUUAUAUAUGUUAAUUAUUGUUUUAUAUUCUUUACUUUAAAUUGCUUUUUUAUUUUAAAAUCAUGUAUGUUUUAUUUAUUUAAAAUUGUUUUAUUAUUUUAAGUUGUUUAUGUCCCCUUUUAAAACUCAGUUUAUUUAUUUUAAAUAUUUUAUUUAUUACUCAUUAUAAGUUAUUUCCUAAUAUUAUUACCAAUUUUAUACUUAUAUAUACAUAUAUAUAUCUAUGUACGCAUCAUUUAAUCUAAAAUUUUUGUAAAUAAAUAUAUCAUAUUUUCUCAAAUUAUUUUAUAUAUUAUCGAUUUUAAAGAUUCAUCUUUUACUUUAUUUACUUUUAAAACUUAGUCAUCAUUAUGUUGAAUAGUUUGUAUAUUCCAUUCGUUUUAAUUUGCCUCAUACCAUUUAUUUUUUAGAGUGUCACAUAUGUUAUUUAUUUAUUUAUUUUUGCUCCUUGAUCACUAAUGUUAACAUUUACACAAUGCAUGUUGAAUGGUUAUUAUUGUGCCUUAAUUUAUUCACUUGCAUCUUUAUCUUUGUCGUACAUUUGUGAUAUUAUUCUCGUAUUAUUAUUUCAUGCUUUAUACUCCCUUUUAUUUUAUUUCAUUUAAAUUAUAUCGCGCAUCAACCUCAAAUGUAUUUGUCCAAGCACGGACUGUUUUAAUCCAAACAAAUAAUACAUGUCGUUUAAGUAUCGUAUUGGCUAUGGUUUAAAAACAAAAUCUUCUAAAUAAGGCAAUGAUCGGUAUUUGGGAAUUCAAGGAAAUGUGUCCUAACUUACUGGGUUUCGAAUUUUCUUGUCCAUCCUAAAUAACCGAACAUCCUCUUAAAAAGGGGCUAAAAUAUAUGAAUUUUAAAUAAAGGUAAGCUCAUUCUCAAAGUUCGAAAUGUCGUGUCCUAAUUUACUAGGCGUGACGUUUUAUUAUUUUGAGAUGAGGGAGUCCUUAACAUCCGUUUUAACUUAUUUGAUCAUUUUUAAAUUAGCAUUAAUUCAAAGAAGGAUUGUGUUUUAAAUUCUUUCAAGUUUUCAAAUCUUUGACAUUAAGACACUAAUUAAUCAACUAGGUAUCAAUUUUGGGCGUAUCGAGGGUGCUAAUCUUUCCUCGUGCGUAACAGACUUCUGAACCUGUUUUUUUUAUUUACGUGGACCAAAAUCAUUGUUUAAAUAAAUCAAACCAUUUAUUAAAAAUAAUCACUUUUACGAGGUGACCCGAUCACACCUCAUCAAAAAGGAUUUGUGGCAAUUCCUCUAUUCGUUUUCAUUUUCAAAAUCUAAAUCGAUUCCCGUUUUUUCCUAAAAAAAAUGGUUUCGACAAUAUUUAUGUUAAAAUAAUAAUUCUAUUAAUAAAAUGAAAAAAUUAUACCAUUAUAUUUUUGUAUUUUAUUAUUGAUGCAGUUUUUAUGUUUUAUUUAAUUGUUAUUUACAUUAGUCUAAUAGUAUAGUGGUAUACUAAAUUAUAACGCACAGAGUGAAAAAAUAUAUAUAAUAAAUAUAUUUAUAAAAAAAUAAUUAUCAAAUUUAGCUGAAAUGGUAAAGAUAUUAAAAUUUAUGGUAUUUUCAUACAACUUGAAAUAACAAUAAUAUCCCCACAGUAACGUUUAUUAUUAAAAAGAAAUGGUUUUUGGUAAUUGUUCAAUUGAGUUAGGACUCGGUUGAAGAGCUAUGUCAACUCAACAAGCUCAUUAAAUAUAGUACUAGACUACAUUCUGGCACACCCACGUACUUGAGAGUUUCCUACCUCAUACGGCUCGGCAGUCAAUUCUUUUGGUAUCCCAUUUUUUUGCCCUACCAUAUAUUCAAUUGAAUGAGAUUUCUCAUAGAUCUAUCGAUUUGUCUCGGGUUAACUAAAAGGGGUUAAGGUGUUGGGUUAAGUCCCGCAACGAGCGCAACCCUCAUGUUUAGUUGCCACCGUUGAGUUUGGAACCCUGAGCAGACUGCCGGUGAUAAGCCGGAGGAAGGUGAGGAUGACGUCA